GGUUAUUUAGUUGGGUAAACUUUUUUUUUAGGUUUUGAGUAAUGAGUUUAAAUGUUAUUGGCUAAGUGAUUUACUAUAUAUAAUAAUUAUUAUUUAAUAUAUAUUAUUAAUGUAAUAGGCCAUUUUUGUCCCAGCCCAAUAAAUACAUAAUCCAUUUUUACAAAUAACCUAAACCCAUUAACCAAUUGAACCCAAUAAAGACCAAAAAUUAACCCUAGCCCAAUUACAGAGUGGCCCAAAAAGUUCAAAGAUCAGCAGAAACCCCAAGCAGUUUUCCCAGCGCCGCACACGUCCUCAUGUCGCAGCAACAGUCCCGUUGCUCCACGUUCUUGCUCGCACGUCCAGUAGCCCCGCACAACGCACGUUUUCCAUACACAUGCAACAAACAAUCGAUAAUGGCAGAAAAUAUGACAAAAAUGUAAAUGGGGGGAAGUUUUCGAGGGCUUGUUUUUUUUGAUUCGGCUAUAUAAAGGCCAAUCGAUCUUUGUAACGGGGUUAGCAAUUUUUUUUUGUACCGAAAUCAAAAAGAAAAUAUACAGAAAAAUAUUUUUGAAGGUGGGAUUUGGUUUUAUUUUUCUCUGUUCCUUUACUGUUUUUUUUUAAAAACUUAUUUUAGUUCUUUUCUUUUGCUUCUAAAAAACAACAAAUAAACAAAACGAGGGAGUAAAGGGAACUUACGCGUCGUUGAAGCUCCUUCGUUUCAUCGCCAUAGGAGCAGAGGAGGGCAGAAGGAGAACAUUACGGCGCAAUGUCAAAGAAAGAAAGAAAAUGUUCUUUUUAGGGUUUAAAAAGGGGGUUUUUGUUUGAUUUAAAGUUGAUGGGUUAUUUGUAAUUUAGGCCCUUCAUUUUUUUAUGGUUUUCAAAAUCACUGUUUUUUCUUUUUUUAUUAUUUUCAAAUUUUUCCAUGAAACAUUGUUAAUGUUUUGAUUUAAUCCAAUGUUGCGCAUUGCUGUGCAGUGUUUUUUGGGUAAUUUUCUCCUUCAGUCCUUCCCCCGUUGCGCAUGUUUUGAAUUACUCCUUUUCUUGUUUUUAUUUUCAAAUUCAGCUCUCAAAUUUUGUUGUUUUUUUAGUUUAAUCCUUAAUUUGCUAUUUUGGGUUUUUUAUAUAUUACAUUAUUAUUACUGAAUUAUUAUUAGUUUAUUAUUAUUAUAUUAUAUAUUUUUAUUAUUAUACUUACCGCAUAUGCAUAUUAACACACGUUUUUUUUAUUUCUUAAAUGUUGUAAAUAUAUAUACUAUAUACAUAUCAUAUAUUUUAUUAUUACUUUAGUUUUCUUAGCUUUAUGUACAUAUGUAUGCGUAUAUAUUCGUAUUUUAUAAUACUUAUAUAUUUUCUCUAUCUUAUAGUCCAAAUACUUUUUAUAAUAUGAUAUAUAUAUAUAUAUACCUACAUUAUUCGACACUUUUAUAAAUAUAACUUUCAAAUCUCUUUUAUAUAUGCAUAUAUAUCCAUAUUUUUUUUAAAAUUACUAGUAUAUUAUGUUUGUAAUUUUAUUUUUAUUUUUAUUUUGUAUAAAUUUUAUUUUUUAUUUUUAUUUUGUUAUUUUUGUUAUUUUUGUAUACAUGUAUAUAUAUGCAUCAAUAUCUUAUCAUACUUUUUAAAAAUAAAUAUUUUGAUUUUAUCAAAACAUUAAAAUUAUUUUUUAUGAUUCAAAGGUUUUCAAAAUAAAAACGAUAUUCAAAGUUAGGGAUUUUCGAGGAAAAUUGAGCCCUAACGUAUUGGGUUAAUUCCAAAUAACCGAGAAUAUUCGUUAUUUAAAAUAUAAACAAAAAUCAUUUUCAGGAAUUUAAUAUGUUAUGUCCUAACGCAUUGGGCAUGACAUAUUGCUUUCUCGAAAUGAAGAUUUUCUUUAAAAAAAUUAAUGAAAAAGCGAUAUUCAAAUUCGGGGAUUUUGAGAAAUUAUACCCUAAUGUAUUGGGUCUCAAUUUCUUCACAUGACUUGAAUAAUUGAUUAUCCUUUUCAGAUUUCAAAAUUUGAGUUCAACAAAAUCUUUUUAAUUUUCGACACCAAGACAUUAAAUAAUCAAUUUGGUACCGAUUUUUGGGCGUUACGAGGGUGCUAACCCUUCCUUGUGCGUAACUGACUCCCAAACCUGUUUUCUCAAAUUUCGCAGGCCAAAAUUGUUUUUAAGGUGAACCGAUCACACCUCAAUUAAGGAUCGGUGGCGACUCCAAUUUUUGUUUUUAAAGUCGAUAACUAAAUUUUUGUUUUUCAAAAAAUGGUUUCGACAAUUAAUAUAAUUUUUUUUAUAACAUAAUAUAUUCAGGCCGAGCCCGAGUCAAAAAAUAUUAUUCAAGACUUGGCUUAUAUAGAAAACAUACCUUAAAUUUUAUCAAAUUUAUUCGGUCGGGAUCGGUUAAUAAAAUUUUGGAAGUUUAGGUAACGGUUAAUUCGGUUCGAAAUUGGUCGUUUAACCGAAUUAACCGAACUUAAUAAAUAAUAUUAUAAUAUAUAAGUAUUCAGUCGGGGGUCGGUCGGUUUGGUUAAUUUUUUGGAAGUAUAAAUUAAUCGAUCGGUUAAUUCGGUUAAUUUUUUUAUAUGUUUUAUACUUGUUUUAACCAAAAAUCAAAAAACAUAUAAAUUUCGGUUAAUUCGGUUAACCAAGCGAAUUAACCGAAAAAGUUCAGUUCAAUUAAUUUUUUUGAAAAAAUUUCGGUUCAAUUAACAAUUAAGGGUUUAAAAGGGUCAAUUAAUUUAGUUAAUGGUAGUUUGAGUCGGUUAACCAAUCGAAUAACCGAUUGAACACUCCGAAAAAAUGUAGGUCCCAAAAUUAUAACAAUGUGCAUAAAAGAAAAAAACUAUAUACAAAGAUUAAAAUAAUUCCCCUAUGAAAACCCCAAAGUGAAUCACCCCUAAAAAUAUUAAUGAUGAGAUUUUGAAAAUUAAAAACUUGGCAACUUGAAAUAAAAACAACUUCAAUAUCUUACAAAGAACGAACAAAAUAACAUCAAAACAAUAAAUUUCAUGUGUUCACUUAAUUAAAAAACCAACUAAUCAUUUGAUAACUAAUAAGUAAAGGCCUUGCGGUCGAUUCUUCUUGGGUUGUCGUGGCCGAAUUUCUUCAUGAAUUUUUGGGCUCCCAUGUUGCCCAUUUGCUCACAAAAUGGACCUCCUUAAAUACCUUCCAAUCGGCUUGUAAAAACCAAACAAAAUGUUGUUCCAUUUUGGGCAACAUGUGCAUUAGCUGUUUGGCCCAAUUUAAAACUUCUUCGUGCUUUGACAAUAUUAAUAAAAGUCUAUUACUCGGCCUAUUUACUUGGUCCUAAAAUGGCAAAAAUUAUUACAAACAAGUAAAAAUAGAAAGUAAAGGAAAUGACUAAGAACACUAGAAGUUGCUACAUUUGGCAACUUCCCGGAUUUUCAAUUUCAGCGGAUAUGUAGAUAUUGAUCAACUAUUCAUUAUGUUGAAAUGAGGUAUGAGGGGGCCGAGAAUGAGAUUCCUAAAAAAUAGGCCAGUGGGUUGUUUUCCAAUGUCUAAAAAAGAGACAUGCAAAGUUACCAGAAUAUAAAAAUUACCCAAAAUGAUAAUUUCAACUAUAAUAAUUUCUCAAAAUGGUAAGUUUUCAGGAAUGGCCAAAUUCAACCAUUGUAUUUUAUGCUUGCAUAUUUUGAUCUCACCAGCAUCGUGAGCCAACCUAUAAAGGCUGGAAAUGAGAUUUUGAAUGUUAAAACUAAGUUUUUAUUUCAUUUGACACACCCAACAAAUCCUUCUAUAUGAUUUUAUAGGAUCUCAUGGUUCGUAUCGCUAUCAAAGUUGGCAAUCUCUAAAAAAAAAAUCUAAAUUUUUUGUUAGGAUUUAUGCUUAUUUCAUCAUUAAUUACUUGUUAUAUUUUGAAUUGUUUGGAUUAAAUAAAAUUUUCACAUGAUUAUUUGAUAUGACUUUUGUAUGAAAAACAAAAUGAAUAAGCAAAUAUUAGCUUAUUGGUUACCUAAUAUUUAACUAAUAUUAAGUUUCAUUAUAUGUAUUAAUUAUAACGUAACAAACUUAAAAUAGUGCAUACUGAAGAAAACAUAAAUAUUAGGAUAAAAAAGAUGUCCCUUAUUCUCAUUGACCUCAAACAUAUAUAUACGAAUCUGAAACUUCUACAGAAAUAAACUUCUAUAUCUGUACAAAUCAAGAUUUCCUAUACAGAGUAACUACAAAAAAUACAUUCACUAAUAUAGCUAAAGAUCCUAAAAUAUCAUUCCUUUAGUUGUUGCACUGAUUUAUCCAACUUUCCUCAACACCCCCCUUAAGUUGGAGCAUGAAGAUUUGAAAUGCCCAACUUGCCAAGAAGAAACUGAAAUUGAUCAAUGUCCAAAGCUUUAGUGAAAAUAUCAGCAAGUUGGAGAGAAGAACGCACAUGAGUUGUUUCGAUAUUCCCAUUUUGUAUCUCCUCACGAAUAAAAUAGCAAUCAAAUUCGAUCUGUUUCGUACGCUCAUGAUAUAUAGGACUUGUUACAAUAUGUAAAAUGGAUUGACUUUCAUAGUACAAAUGCAUGGAACCAAAAUGAUCGACACCAAGAAAUAGAAACAAAACCUUCAACGAUUUAAGUUCACAAGCUACAGUAGUCAUUGAUCUAUAUUCUGCUUUGGUAGAAGAGCGAGAAAUUGAUUGUUGUUUCUUGGUUUUCUAAGAAAUAGGAGAUUUGCCCAAACUAAUAAAAUAACCUGUCAAGGUGCGUCUUGUCAAGGGACAACUCGCCUAAUCUGAGUCAAAAUAAGAAUACAAAUUAAGAUCAAAAUUUACUCGUAAAAGAAUUCUCUGUCCAAGAUUACCCUUCAAAUAUCGUACUGCUCGCAAUGUUGCUUCCCAAUGAGCCUUCUUUGGUUGUUGCAUAAAUUGAGCAAGAAUAUGCACAUAGUAACUCGAUUCAGGUCAUGUAAUAGUUAAAUAGAUUAGUCUUCCUACUAGUCGACGAUAUUGAGCAGGGUCAAGAGCAUCCUCCCCUUCUAUAAGAGCAAGUUUAUGAUUCUGCUCAAGUGGAGUUUUCACUAACUUAGCUCCCAACAAACCGACCUCAGAGAUAAUAUCCAAGGCAUACUUUCGUUGACAGAAAAAAAUCCCUUCAGCAUUUCUUGCCACUGUUAUACCCAAAAAAUAUUUCAACCAUCCCAAAUCCUUAAUAUGGAAACAACUUCUCAAAUACUCCUUGAAUUGUUGCACAGCCUUAGCAUAAUUACCUGAAAUAAUGAGAUCAUCCACAUGAACAAGAACAUGUAUUUGCACACGCCGUUUGCGAAAAACAAACAAUGAAUAGUCUGAGCAAGAUUAAUGAAAACCAUACUCCUUUAAAAAAUCCGCUAGCUUAGCAACCAACAACGUGGUGCCUAGCGUAAGCCAUACAAAGACUUGUGAAGUCUACACACUUUUCCAAGACUUUUCAGAGGCAAAACCCAGUGGCAUUUUCAUGUAAACUUCCUCAUUCAUAUCUUCCUGCAAGAAAGCAUUUUGCACAUCCGUUUGAUGUUGUUUCCAAUUCUUUGUGGUAGCCACAGUGAGAAAAGUACGUAUAGUGGCCAUCUUUGCGGUGGGAGUAAAAGUUUCAUGGUAGUCGAUACCAUCCUUUUUUAUUAUUGCCAAUAAUUACCAAUUGAGCCUUGCACAAUUUAAUGCUUACAUCUGAAUUACAUUUUAUUUUGUACACCCACUUACUACUAAUAACCUUCUUCCCAAGGGGCAAGUCUUCCACCGUCCAAGUCUCAUUCUCUUCCAAAGCUUGAAUCACUUUUCUCAUAGCUUCUUGCCAUCGUUCAUCUCUCAUUGAUUCAUUAUAAGAAGCUGGUCCUAAACAUGUAGUGAUGUUUGCCUAGAAGGAUCGAUGUUACGAAGAAAACUUGUCAUAACUGAAAAAAUUAGCUAUGGGAUAAAACAUACCUGAGGAAAGUGAUUGGAGAGGUGAACUCUACGAGGAGUUGAAUCUCACAUUAUUUGUUACAUAAUCCUUCAAACGAGUGGAUGGUUGUUUAAUCCCAUACCUUUGACCCAGCUGAUGUUAUACAAGAAUGCCCCCUCCUUCUGAUUUUUCGACAGCUAUAUCUCUAGAAUUUUCCUCAGCAGUAAAAAAUCUUCAAGAGGUUUCUCGCUGUCCAAUACCUUCCGCUCUUCUUCGACAGUUUCCCAAUCCUUAUACAUGUUAGGCCCAUUUGUAAUUCUAGUGGAAUUAUCACUUGCAAACACUUGUGUAGCAUAUAAAAAAUUUGUUUCUACAACCACCACAUCCCUUGAGACUAGAUACUUGAAGGUUUCUAAAUUAUAUAUUUUCCAUCCUUUCUUGUCGAAAGGGUACCCCACAAAAACACACCUAUGACUUCUACUAGAAAAUUUAUCCUUAUCUCUAAGUUGUUUAUGCACAUAAUAAAGACACUCAAAAGUCCUAAUAUGAUUAUAGGAAAGGGGUUGUCCAAAGAGAAUUUCAUAAGGAGUUUUUCCCUUCAAAACUGCAAAUGGCAUUCAAUUGAUUAAGUAUCUAGUGGUAAGAAUACAUUCACCCUGAAAAUUAAUGGGCAAGUGUACCUGAAAUAUCAAAGCUCUCACUACAUUAAAAAUGUAACGAUGUUUUCUUUUGACAAGUCCAGUUUGUUGAGGAGUUCCUACAGAAGAAGUUUGGUGCAAUAUACCAUGCUCAUCAAAAUAUUCUCCCAGACAAACAAAUUCAUUGUUGUUAUCACUCCUAAUAGUUUUCACAUCCUUCUCAAACUGUCUUUUAAUCAUAGUAAUGAAAUACUUAAGAACGCAAGAAACUUCAUAUUUUUCUUCCAGCAAAUAAAUCCACACAGCACAAGAACAAUAAUCAACAAUAGAAAAAAAUAAUGAGCUCUACAAAAAGCUAAAACUCUAAAAGGUCUCCAUAUAUCACAAUGCAUUAAAUUGAAACAAUAUUUAGCUUUAUUGUCACUAGAAUAAAACAUCUUUCUAGUUUGUUUUGCUUUAAAACAAACAUCACAGCUUAAGUUAUCACUAUUUUUACUAGAUUUAUAUGCUAAAAAAAUAAGCUCUAGCACCUUAUUCAAUGAAUGACCCAUUCUCCUAUGCCAAAUAUCGAUGUCUGCAACUCUAAAAGCUUUACAAGCAUUUGCUGAAACCACCUCCUUAAGAAAAUACAGCUCUUCACGUUGUUCACCCGCUCCAAUCAGCCUCUUCAUAUUUCGGUCUUGUUUAGCACAUAUUUUAUUAGUGAUUUGUAGCACCAAAUUUGAGUCAUUAAGAAGUUCUGAAAUAGAAAUCAAAUUGUUUUUUAAAUUAGGAACAAAAAGAACAUAUUGCAACUUCAAUCCUCUUCCAAGAUGCACCGUUCCUUCUUUUAGUGCUACAGUUGCUUCACCAUUUUGCAAUUCGAUUGAACAUGGAACAAUGUUAGACAGAUCUCUCAAACAAGCCCUUAUGUUAGUCAUAUGAUGGGAAGCCCCUGAAUCUAUUAUCUAAGAAAAAAUUCGUUGUUUACUAGUUAUCCUUUCAUUAGAUACAAUCUUUUGUGAACUCAAAAUUCCUAGCAAAGUGCUCCAUUGUUCAUCAUUCAAACCACUAAGCCCUUUUCUUUUAGAGUUCAUGAUGCCUCCGUGGCCAGUCUCUGUUGCAAAUUUCUGAGUGACAUUUUUUUUAUGGUACAGCACCCUUGUCACAUCCUCCACCACCAUUACGCUUAUGCCCACUUCCUCAUCCUGUAACACUAGAGCGAGGUCUAUUUCCCCAUAAAUCUGAAUACCCUAUCAACUGAAAGCAAGUACUCGAGUCAUGUCCCUCACAGUUGCAAUGCGAGUAAACUACAGUUUUGUCCCUACCUGAAUUUCAUUCGCCAGCCCAAACUGCAAAGCUCAUGGGGUUGCCUUUCUCUUUGUUGUUCGUGACAUUGUCCUUACUUGUUCUUGUUCAACAACCAUUGUAUAUAUCUUAUUCAGAUUGGGUAAUAGGUCUGUACUCAAGAUAUUAGCGUGCAUAGUACCAUAAUGUAGUGAGAUUGCAUCUGCAUCCACCAGAACUACACAGUGGUAUUUUGUCAUAAUUAUUUAGUUCAUCCCAUAUGGUUUUAUGCUGUCCAUAGUAAUUGAUUAUUAUGGUUUGUCCAUCUGGCUUAUAGUUCGUCAAAUCUGACCUCAAUUACUGCACUCUUGGUCCAUUUCCAAUGAAGAAGCAUUUCCUUAUGUCCUCCAACAAAUCUUCUACAUUCUCUACAAGGGAAAUAAUUGAACAUAAAGAGAGUUCAAUAGUGUUAAAUACCCAUGAAACAAGCAUGGAAUUGACAGUCCACCAAUCUUUAAUUUUCGAUGAAUCAUCUUUUAUUGUUCCACGGUUCCAUUAAUGAAACCAUACUUCUUUUUGGCCCUCAAUGCAGUUUGCACUACCUUUGCCCAUUCUUCAUAAUUUUCUCCCUUCAAUUGCACUUAAGUUAUUAUGUUGAUUGGUUGUCAUUGGGGCUUAGAAUGUACGGACUGGAAGUUUUCUUAUUAAAAAUAGAAAUCCCUUCAUCUUUAGGAGCCAUGACUUUGAUACCAUGAAGAAAUAAAAAAUUAUUACGAUAAAAAAGAUGUCCUUUAUUCUCAUUGACUUUAAACAUAUAUAAAUAGAUCGAAAACUUCUACUAGAAAUAAACUUCUAUAUAUGUACAAAUCAAGAUUUCCUAUACAAAGUAGCUACCAAAAAUACAUCCACUAAUAUAGCUAAAGAUUCUAAAAUAUCAUUCAUUUAAUUGUUGCACUGAUUUGUCCUAAUUUCCUCAACAAAUACUCUAAAUGAUUCAUAGUCCAUGGGUCAAAUUGAAAAAAUGACUCACAUUAGGAUUGCCAUGUCAUUUAUAAGUCUAAUAUGAGAGAUAACUUGUCUUGGCUAUCAGAGCUGGAUUGACUCCUAAAGAUAGAAACAUAGAUGUGAUUGUCUGGACUAAUAAUACAUCAGACAAAACCCAAAAUGAAUUAGACUUACAUUCAUUUAUGGAUUAAUUCAUUUGUGUCGUUCAUUUUGUAAUUUACCUAAAUCCUAAGUAAGUGGAUGACUAUUUGUACAUGAACUAUGUACUUUGAUAUUGAAAACCUAUCAAGGUAGUGAGUAGAAAGUUGGUAUGUUGUGUACAUGACUAAUACAUAGGAUGGCACAACACCAAAACAGGUCUUUAGCGGCGUUUUUUUAGGCCUUUAGCGGCGCUUUUUGCCGCCACUAAAGAUAUUUGAAAGCGUCGCAACAAAGGCCGCUAACGAAAACUUCGCUAACGUUUGCAGCGUUUACAAACAAAAACGCCGCUAAAGAACAUGCUCUUUAGCGGCGUUUUUUUUAACUUUAGCGGCAUUUUUUUUCUAAGCGCCGCUAGAGAUCAUAAUCUAUAGCGUCGCUUUUUUUACAAACGCUGCUAAAAGAAAUGUUCUUUAGCGGCGCUUUUAUACAAAAACGCCACUAUUUUUUUAUAUUAAAAUUUUCAUUUCUUCAGCCCUCCUGUAGCAACAAAUCAAAAGCAACCAGAUUUAAACCAGCCAAAAGCAAUAAAUUUAUAUAAUAUUUCAAAUUAAACGAAUAAAAUAAUAUUAAUAUCAAUAAAUAAAAGUGAAUUCAUAUUAUUUUGCAAAAAUAUUAAAAGUUAAAAUGAUAAAAAUAUUAAUGCAAUACACUAUGACGGCGGAAGUUGCGACUGAAACAUCUUCAUCAUAAUCUGAAGCUGCUGCUGGAGUUCGUCGUACUUUCUGCUCUGCUCUGCUUCUCUUGCUGCAGCCUCUACUUUAAGUUUUAGCUGCAGUUCUUCAUAUUUCUUUUGAACCUCUGCUUCUCUCGCUGCAGCCUCUGCUUCCCUCGCUGCUGCAUCUACUUUAAGUUGUAGCUGGAGUUCUUCAUAUUUCCUUUGAACCUCAACUGUGGUCGCUUGCAUCUGAGUCAUCUGGUCUUUAAACCUCUGAACUUUAGCUUGAGCUUGACUCCCCGAAGCCAUGUAUUGCUGCGAGCUGGAUCCAAAAUAUUGGGUUAGGCUAACAAAAGAUCCUCGAAACCGAACCCGACCAUACCUUUCAGGACCCAAAAAUUCAGUAAUAAUCCGGUUAUCAAUGUCUUCAGGAUGAACAGAACUAUCACUAGAAACAAUCGCUUCGUACUUCCCCUUUUUAUCAUUUAGUUUUUCCUAAAAAAUAAAUCACAUAGUUAGGAGCGCAAUAUAUAUUAAAAAAAAUAUGCAACAUAACAAUAGUCGCAUUACAAGCAAUGAAUUAAACCAUUAGAAAAUAAACACAAUAAAUAACUAAAACAAGUCAAAUCGUAUUAAGUAAACGUACUAUUAUUUCACCAGCUUCAGGAGUCAUGGGAGAUCCAUCUUUCUUCCUAUGUGUAAUUUCAAAAAAUUGAAGGCGUCCAACUUUUUGACCAGACGACAGUUCUUACAAUAUAGUAGUAAAAAUAUUAUUUAAUGGAAAGUUAUAUAUAUUUUACAAUAUUAAAAAAAAUUAAAAAUACCUCCGCCUCAGCUACACAUGCAAAACUUCUCGACCCAACUGUGUGAGUGAAUUUUUGUUUCUCCCUACUACUUUUUCCAACUCGUUCACGAUCCUACGUUAUGAAAUUUUUAGUACGUAAAUAUUAAAUACUAUAAACCAAAAUAAUUACAAUAGUUUGGAAGUACGUCAUACCUUGUCUUUCUUCGAAUGCCAAAAUCUAACCGCAUCUUCCCAUUGGUACCUCAACAUACCCGGCGGGACAUUUUGCAAUUUCUCAUCGAGGGUUGUUUUUGUCUUAUAAUAAUUUUUCUUCAAAGUACUUUUAUUGUCUCUCCAUCUUUUUCCCAAUGCAUUCUUUGCAUAAGCAUCCGAGACCUCUAAAGCAAACAUCGCCUACAAAAAACACAAGUUAAUAAAAUAAAUAUAAAUAAAACUAUUUCCCAAGCAUUACAGAUGACAUUAACAUUUUGUUAGCUUAAUAUUAUCGAGGGCUUGGUUUUUGUUGCUAUCGGGCAUUUGAUGCCAUGACUCGUAGUUGAUAGGCAACAUAUUUGUAUUUCGUGCUAAAAUGCCCAUGUAUCCUGCUAAAAGUCGAGCUUCUGAUCCAACAGGCUGACCAAAACUGUUUCGUCCAAAAGCGGCAUCGUUUUAUCGAACUUUCCACCAAAGAAGAAUAGCAGACGAUGUCGUAUUGUAGAAAACUUUGCGGCGUUUUAUCAGAAAACGCCACUAAAGAAAUAUACUGAAAGGAAAACGAAGUCGUUUUGAUAUAUUCUUUGCGGCGUUUUACGUCUAAGCGCCGCUAAAUCCUAUCUAUUGCGGCAUUUUAGUUUAAAACGCCACUAAUUAUUCAGUUUUUAUAAUAUUUUAUAUGUAUUUAUUUAUAAGUAUUUUUAUUUUUAAUAGAUUUUUAAAUACUAUCAACAUUCAAAUUUAUUAAUUAUUCACACUAUUCCAAUAAUGUCUUACAAUUAUAAAUUUAUGCUCUAUUUUUAGCAAACAAAUGAAUGCUCGUAUAUAAUAUUAAACUGUUUCAUCAUAUAUAACAUAUAUAUAUAUUAAACUUGUAUAAACCAUAAAUCCGAAAUGCUAAAACCUUACAUCGUAACCCUUAAAUCAUUAACGCUAAAUCGUAAAACAUAAACAUCAAUCCUUAACACAGUAAAUUUCAUUAUCUUAUAAGCCGUAAACUCUAACCCAAUAAUAACGUUAAAAUGUAAAAUCUAAACCUUAAACCUCAAUCUCCAAGCCCUAAACCUAAACUCUAAGCCCAAAACACAAAAAUGUAAUCUUAAAAUAAUAAAUAUUGUGCCACAAACCCUAAAACCCCUAACAGUAUACGAUAAAACUUAAAUAUUAAUCCCUAAAACCUAAAAUUUUAUUUCCUUUUUUGCGGCGUUUUGACCAAAAACGCCGCUAUUACCAAUAGAGACAAUAAAAAGCGACGUCGUUUUAAUGAACAUUCCACCAAAGAAGAAAAGCAGACGAUGUCGUAUUGCCAAAAUAUUUGCGGCGUUUACUUAAAAGCGCCGCUAAAUCAAUAUCCUGGAAUAAAACGAAGCCGUUUUACUUAGUCUAGUUCAGGCGUUUCUUAAUAUGCGCCGCUAAAUCCGAACCGUUUCUGGUGUUUUUUAACAUUUCGCCACUAAAGCAUAAAAAGGAAACAACAAAACGGUACCGUUUUGCUCAAAAAUUUUCCUCAAAUUAGAUAUCUUUACCGGCGUUUCUCCAAUAAUGCCACUAUAUCCCAAUAUUUGCGGCGUUUUUUACAAGGCACCACUAAAGAAAUAAAAUGAAGCAAUAAAACGGUAGCGUUUUGUCCAAAUUUUUUCCUCAAAUUAGAUAUCUUUACCGGCGUUUCUCUGAAAACGCCGCCAAUUCAAUCUUUUCCGGCAUUUUUUACAAUGCGCCACUAAAGAAAUAAAAUGAAACAAUAAAACGGUACUAUUUUGCUCAGAUUUUUUCCUCAAAUUUGUUAUCUUUACCGGCGUUUUUGUUGAAGCGCCACUAAAGUCAUAAAGUAACCAAAAAACGGAGCCGUUUUGCAAACAAGUUUUGUGGCGUUGAGGUAAAAACGCCGCUAAUGCAGAUCAAUUGUGGCGUUUCUAUUUCUUGCGCCACUAAUAACCAUUUAUUGCGGCGUUUGUCUCUGGACGCCGCUAAAACUCUAUUUUUUGCGGAGUUUUUUUGUUUAAACGCCGCUAAUACCGCCGCUAAAGACCUGUUUUGGUGUAGUGUGGUUUCACUCACAAUAGUGGAAUCAUAGCUCAAUAAAGAGUAAAUGUUAUCUUCUAGUUGGCAUUGUAUGAUUUAUGAAAAUGAAUCAUGUCAUGGGUCAUUUUUUCUAGAAUAAAUGGUUUAAUCAUCACUAGGUUACGUAAUGAUCAUUGUCAUCAUAGUAGAUACAAUGUCACCAUAAAAAAACUAAUCAAGUCAGGUGAGAAGGUUGAUUAUUUUUAUAACUAUUGUUGUUUUGCUAUUUUUCAGUUCCAUCCUUCAUUGCUAGCUUCUUUUACCAUAAGAACUACAACCAUGGAUAAUAUUAAGAUUUAAAAGUUUAAGUCCACUAAUGAAUGAAUAUGUACAAGGGGUUGAUUAUUUUUUAAGAUUUGCUUUUACAAAUCCAUGUUGAGAUGGUAUGAGUUUGCUUCUAUGCAUGGAAUUUGCCAAUUUACAAUUGAGGUUGCUAGGACUUGUAUAAGAGAACUUUUUUGUGCUAAGUUCUUGUUAAAUAUAAAAACCAGGUGAUACUUUAUUUGUGGCUUAUGAGUCUCAUCUGACAGAGGAGGUUUUUUAUUUUAAAAGCUUUCAAGAGUUUGGAGGUCUUGAUGUGUCACACCCUAAAAUAAGGCCUGGAAGUUUCGAGGGUAAAAUAAGAAUUUUAGCUCUAGUUUGGUCGAGAAUUUCGUAGCAUGGUAAACCGAAAAUGUUUUCGUUUAUGGCUUUUUAAAAAUCAAAUAAUUUUUUGAAAAUGAUGCUAAAAAGACUUCCAAUUUUGAAAUAAGGAUUGAUUUGUAAUAUGGGCUAAAUUUUGAGUGUUUAUAAGGCAGUUAAACUAAAUUUUAAAUUCAACCUAAUAUUCCCCCACCUACAGUAAACUCACGAUAGCUUCCCCGUUGUUUUGUUUUUCCUAUCCCUUACUCUCCCAAGAUUCUCCCAUUCAAUUUCAUUUUAAAAAUAUUAAUUCCUUUGAUUUCUAUCACCACCCAAGCCAUAAAUCUCCAUAGAAUUUCAAGAAAAACACCCAAAGCACCAUUGAUUUUGUCAUCUCUCAAGUUGUGUGUUUUCCAGAUUUUCGACUAAAUCUUUGUUUUUCUUCCAUUGAAGGUAACAAUUCGUCUUUCUAUUAGUUUUAGAUGUUAUCUGGUCUUUUAAAUUGAGUUUGUACCCAUUAAAUCACAUGUUUUGAAUAAAAGCCAAAAAUUGAGUCGUUAAUGGUGGAUUUCGAGAUUUUGAAUAAAAAGGUGGUUUUAAAGUAUUUUUCAAUUAGUUUUAAUGUGAAUAGAAUGUUUCUAAAGUGAUUUUAAAGUUUCGUUAAAGAUUUCUUAAAAUUUAUUGGAUUUUCAUGAAAAUUGUCAUGAUAUGUCGAAAAAUUUCAAUGCCAUGAAUUGGGUAGUUUUGCAUAGUUUAAAGGUUGAAAAUUAUUCGUAGGUAAAUAAGUGGAUUAAUGAAAUCAAUUUUAGGAAAAAAAGAAUUAAGUAUAGACCGAGAUAAUAGAGUUUCAAGUUUGUUAUGUUGAAGGUUUCGGUUACAAAAUAAUCUAGCUUAGGCUUGUGUUUUUGCUAUUGAUUUAAGAGAGUCAUUGGUUACGAAAUUCAACUAGGUAUCCACAACAACAUACUAGAAACAUUCUUGAAACCUCCAUUCUUCGUUCAUUCUUUCUGCUUGCCUUCUAUUCUUAAACUUUGCCCCUUUCUCUAUAAUAGAAGACUAAUUAAAGAAGAUGAAGCUAUAUCAAAUUUUUAGGGUUUUAAAUAACCCAAAACGGUAAGCUUUGGAUUUAAAAAUAGUUUUUAUUUUAAUUAUAAAAUGACAUGAGAAUUAUGUUAAUUUAUUUAAAGGUUAAAAAAUUCAUGUCACUCAACAUUAGUCGACUGUUAGUAUUUUAACAGUUUUGGACUAAAAAAUUUUGAUAAAUCAGGUGACCAUUUAUGUAGUUCACCCAAUUUAUUAUAAAUAUGACUUUAGUCAACUGAAAAUUUUCAUGGUUCAGACUGAAUUUCUUUCACUAGCACUAGGAAAAUUAAUAUUUUCAAGAUACGUGCCUACCUCUCUUAAUAAUAUCGUCUUCAAUAUUUAAACUUAAAUUUUAUCUAUAAAAAUACAAAAUAUUUUACUAUUACGCCCAAUAAAUAUUAAUAAUUGCUUCAUCAUUUAUGAACUCUUAUAAAUGUCGGCAAAUUAUUUGUAGUGCGACAACUUUGCUACCAACAUGUAACCACCAAAGAAAAUUGAAGAAAACAUACAUAUUCAUGCAAAAAUGUUUGGACUUUGGACAAUAAAAAAUCUAUUAAAAUUGUUGAAGGUUGAGUUGAUCCGACUCUAGAACAUUUGGUAUAAGAAAUAAGAAAUGGACCUCAUUGGGUUCCAUUGACUAGUAAAGUAAUAUUGAAAGGUGAUAUGCAUGUUUAUCUUGAUAUCAACUUUUUAGCCGCAUCAACGAUGGGUUGGCAUUAGCUAGGAAGAAUCUCAAAACUUUUUAUUUCUUCAAUUUCCUCCAAAAACCUAUGUCACUCUCAUCUUCCUCUUCUUCAUCAUCAUCUUUUUUUGUGUUAAAAUAUUAAUAACCACCUUUUUUCCCUCUUUUGUUUCUUUCAUAUAUAUAUCUAUAUGUGCAAAAUCCCUCUUAUAGUUUAAUUCCUUGAAUCUCAUGACACAACACAAUCAUUAAAGCUAUGAAUUUUUUAUCCCCUUUUCUUCUUAUUUUACUUCUCUCCUCUCUCUUUCACCACUCUGCGUUGCCCAUUUCAGAACUUCAAGGUACGUCCCUCUUCCUCUCUCUCUCUAUACAUAUGUAUAUAGUUCAUAAGUUUAUUAACUUGGAAUGGUUUAUGUUUUCAGAUUUUGGGACCGAGGAAGCUAAAGAAUCAUCUAUGGGUACUUAUGAUUACCAGCAUGUAGUAAGAUAAAUCUUCUUCUAGUUUUCUUUUCUUUUCUUUUCUUUUUUUACAAAAAUAUGAUAAGUGAAGCAAAUUUAUAUAUUGCUGAACCUUGUUAUUGAUGAUUUUUGUUGAUUGUUCUAAAAAUGCAGCCAUUUGUUGGAGUUGAAGAUGAUGCUCAUAAGCUUCAAAGGAAAGUAUUGCAUGAAGUUCACUCAGGACCAAAUCCAAUUAGCAACUCAGUUCCACAACAAAGAUUGAAAACAAAGUUGAGAAAAAUAUUACCAUAGCUUUAUUUAUUUUGUAUUUUUUAAUUUACCAAAAAAAAAACAACAAAUAAUUUGCCAAUAAAAUCAGUCUUUUUUUUGGGGGAAAUAUCAAAAUAAUAACUUCAUAAUAUCAUUACAAAUCAAUAAUGUAAUGAUUAUUUCAUCAUUAUAAACCAUAUAUAGUUUUUUGUAUUUUUAUUUUUAGUUAUAAUUAAUCAAGCUUUAUUUCAUUAUGUCAUGUGUUAUCUUACCUUCUCAUUCUUCCCUUUUAUAAUUUCUUUUUUCUUUACUUUAUCAGUUGAUAGAGGAUAAAUUGCUAUAUCAUCAACCAAAAAUCUCAUUAUUCUUAAUCUCUUUCAUGUAAAUAAUAAAAUAAAAUGUUUUAUAUAUUUAAUAAUUAAUAAUAUUAAUAUAAUAUCGAUACUAAUUAAAAUAAAACUCAAUGGAUUUAAAUAUGUAUUAUUAUAUAAUUUAAAAUUUUGAAAGGAACAUAAAUAAUGAUAAAAAAAAUUGUAUGAAAAGUUUGACAAAACUAGAAUAUUAGGAUUUAACUUUAAUUACUUUUAGGUAAGAGUAAGACAAUAUUAUUUUUACUACAGUAAAAAACAGUCUUGUCUGCCUAAACAAAGACUAUGUAUAUGACGCUUUAAAUGGUCAAUGGAUUAUUGGAGUUUGUGUGGGUGAAAAUGCUUUAUAGGAAAAACGUAAUUAAAUGCACCCAAAAGCUAUUUAAUUGAUCUCUAAAAGAAGCAAAGUUGUUGUGGGUUUCUAAGUAGUACUACUAUCUUGUCAAUCACCAAAGACUAAUGAUUUUGCUUCCUCCCUUUGCUACAGUAAUUUUUUUCAAACCAGUUUAAUUAAAUUUCAAUUAUGUAAUUUUAUAUUGAUUGAGUCUUAGUUCAAUUGAUAUCCAUAUUAUUGUCAACACAAGAGAACGUGAGUUCGAGUACGUUAAAACGUAUUAUUCUCCUAUUUAAGAAUUGGGAAAUACUAUAAAUAAUUUUAGAUAUUAUAUCAAAAAACAGAUAUAAUAUAGAUUUAUAAUGAUAUUAAUACUUAAUUAAAAAAAUUUUAAAAAUAAAUAGAAGGUUGCGGAUUGAGUUUUAGUUUAAUAAAUUUUAGCUUCAGUUCAAUAGUAAAGCAAAUCAAUCAAUAUUGGCAAUAAUUUCAAACAUACUUUACAGAAAUUUAUUUGAUAUAAAGCUGCAUUUAUUCUUUUCAGCUCAUGACUUUUACUAUUUAUGUUUAUGAAGAAAAUAUGCUUCACAUAUUUCUUUGAAAAGUAAAAAAUUAUGUACCUUAAUUACUUUUUUUCUUAAAAAUAUAUAUAUUUAUAAAUUAUCCUGGGUCAAUAAUUUAUAUCAUAUAAAUUAUGGGGUAAAGCGAGAAAAUAUUUUUAAGAGGAAGAAUUAAAUUAUAUAUUUUUACGAAAAUUAAAAUAUAAUUUUAUAAUUUUAGGCUUCCCCUGCACAUGUUAGUAUAUUAAAGUUUAUAUAUUUAUUUGUUUCGCUACAGUGUACGGAUUGAAGUCAAGGUGUAGAGGACCCAGUUUUCACCUCAAAAUCGUAUGCUGGAGGUUGUGUAUUUCGCUCAAUGGUCGUAUGAAACAAAUGUCACAAUAGCAUACAUGAUCCCUACAAUUUUAUCAAAUCUUCAGUAUAGUCCUUAAAAUUUAUCAAUUUUUUGAAUACUCCCUUCAAUUAUAUUUAAAAAUAGCAUGCUAUUGUUUAAAUUAAAAACAUUAAACUAUAGUUUUAAUAUAAAUUAAAAAUUAUUAUAAUAAUUUGAAAUUUAAAAUAUAAUUAUUCUUAAAAUAUGGAAAUUUAAGAUUUGGUUAUUAAAAGAAAUACAAUUUUAAGAUGAAACUUAUAAAAUACUUUUUUAGAAGAAUGAUUUCAAAUCUACAAAGUGGUUUUAAUAUUUAUUUUUUUCAAUAAUAAAAAAUUAUAAAAUUAUCAACUCCAGAUAAAUUUUUUAUUGCUUUAAAAAUAUGGAAUACUCUCUUCUUCUUCUUUUUUUUAAACAAGAUAACCAGGAUAAAAAAAUAAUAAAAAACCGACAUUUUAAAUAAUAUAUAUUUUAAAUUUUUUAAAAAUGCAACAUAAUAUUUUUCAAUAUAAUUUUGAAGUGAAUAGAGUAGAUUGAAAAUUUAAUAAAUCUUCAAAGAUUGAAUCCCCCUUUGUUCUUCAUGCUCAAAUAAAAAAAGGAAAAAUAUCAUAAAUGAUCCCUGAAAUUUUAUUAAAUUUGGAAAAUAAUAACAUAAAUGAUCCCUGAAGGGGCUUCAACUCAAACGUAUAUUUUAGUAAAUAAAAGGGGAAAAAACCAACUUUAGUAUCAAGUAAUAUUUUUUCCUUGGUAAUGAAACUAAUCAUUACAAAGCUUAAUGAUUAAAGGUAUCACAUACUGCAAAUAUAUAUUGGAGCUGGGUUUGAGAUAUGUUAUUUUAAUUCUGGAAUUUGUCAUUUAAUCAAUAAAAUAUAUUUUUAUAAAAGUAUUUUAAAUAAUAAAAUGAUUUAGUUUUAACUCGAUUGACAUGAGUUUGAGUGCGUUGAAGUGUAUUAUCCUCCUUUUUAUGGGUUGGAAAGAGAUUAUAUAAAAAAAACAAAUAUAAUUUGACGAAAAUAUUAAACAAAUAGAUUUGGUUAUUAUUCCAUUGUCACAAAUAAAAAAAAUAAAAUUAAAAAAAAGGGUAGGUUGCAUAAUUUUAACCUAAACCCGUUGCUAAAAUUUCAAUUGACAAACUCCUUGUUUCAUGGUGAUGUCAAUUUCAUCAUAUCAAUAAUUGCAGUGAAACAAUGCCUCUCUCAAUUAUUAUUGAAAAUGACUUAGAUUACAAAGAUUGUUUUUUGCAUAAUUAAUCAAGAAUCUUUAUAUAGAUCUAAUUUAACCAAUUUUUCUUAGAGCAAAAUCGACUGAUAGUGAUACACAAAUUUCCUCUAAAUAGAAUUAAAUAUUAUAAAAGAAUAUUAAAGAUUCGAGAACUCAAUUUUUAUCAAUUAUACCAAAACUUUUUAAUGUUUAAUUUGAUAAAUUUAAACACGGUACUAUAUGGAAAAAUACAUAACAUCAAUAUAACUUUAUAUAACAUUAAUUAUUGAUAUAUUAAAACCUACAUAAAUACGUAAUCGUUGAAAUGCGAUUACAAUGUGCAACCAAAAAAAAAAAAAAAAAUCAAUACAUCACUUUGGUAAGUUAAAUAUGCAUAAUGUCAAAUUUAAUUCUCAAUAUUUAUAUUUUUUUAAUUUUUAUUUUUAUUUUUUUAAGUUAAAUUUGACCAUUAACCUUUUAACGAUGUUAGCAUGACAAUCUAUGUAAUAGUUCACGUGUAUUUCAUGUUGACAUGAAAUUAUUUAUCUUAUAUGUCACAUAAAUAAAUAAUUUAAAAAUUAUAAAAGUAUUCACAAAAAUAAAAAAAAUUUAAAAAAAAACAUAAAGUACAUUUGGGUUACCAUGCAGGUUGUUAUGUUUAAAAACUUAACAUUUUUGUCGUUAUUGCAAUUAUGGUGGCACGACCACCUAUAUAUGUUCUGGAUCUACGACUCUAGUGGCAUUGUUCCACAACUAUAUGUUGGUGUGUUUUGGAUGGACGAGUUCUUGGAAACUCUAUUUCGUGUGUAGCGGAGUUGGGUAGGUACAUUUUCUGAAAAAUCUACAUUGUGUUUUUCUGAAAAAUACUGCAUUGGCCUAAUCAUGCAUUCUCAUUUUCGGUCAAUUGAACAUUAUGAAAUUUCUCUGUGUUAUCUGAUUUGUUUUCUAUGUUACAUUGCAUGACAUGCCAUGUCAUCGUGACUGUUCAGUUUUUUAUGUCUGUUUGACUGUCUGUUAUUAUUAUUAUUAUUUUUUGCAUGUAGGCUGAGUUGCACACUAAACUUUAUAGCUCAUCCCUUUUCAUUUCACCAUUUUAGGUAAUUGACAGAAUUAGAAUUGUCUGGCCUUUGGGAACUCAGAUUGGUUUUCUCGCAUAAAAUGGUUUUAGUUAUUAAUAAUUAAAAUUUCUAGACUUUUGAUUUUUGGACUAAUUUUUGGAUUUAAUUUUGGCUUUGGGUUUUGUGGUGGUUUUGUUAUUUAGUUUAAGAUUUUUGCAUGAUUUUUGUCAAUUAAAAACCAAUGCUUGGUUUCCAAAAUUAAACAAGCUAACAAUUUUUCCGCUACAAAGUUUUAUUCGGAGUUAAAAGUUUUACAAAGCAAGUGCCUUAAGCGUUAUGAUUUUAUAAAAUUGGUUUUUCUAAGCAAACAAUUAAUAAUUUCACAUAAACAUUUUAAGAAUGAAAAAUUCUCCUACAAAGAAGUCAUGGCGAGUUUUUAUAAAUCUUCAAUUUUCGAUUUCAUAACAAGACACACUUUGGGAAAAUAUAUAACUAAACUUUCAACGUAUUAAUGUAACAUUCCAGAUUUAGCAUUAACGAAUCACUCCAAAAUGAAUGGAAAAGUUAAUGUUUGUUAACUUGAUUGAUGUUAUAUCCACGUGAUAGUUCACAUUAGCAAUUAAAUAAAAUUUUAAAAAUUAAAAACAUUGAAAAUAUUUUUAUAACUUUUUAUUUUUAAAUAAUUUUUUAAUUUUUAAAAUUAAAAAUAAUCAAAUUACUGGCAUGGCAUCCACAUAUUGCCGCAUGGAUGCCUCAUCAACAAAGUUAACAAACAUUAAUUUUUCCUUCCAUUUUGGAGUGAUUUGACAAAUAAGACAAAUUUAAAAACUAAAAACUAAAAAAUUAUUUUUAAAAAAAUUAAAAGAAGAAAUAAAUUAUUAUACCAUUUCAAAUCAAUUCAAGUAGUAACUUUCAAUAAUGCUGAUGGACCAAUAAUGUAAUUAUAUUGUUUAAAUUUCAACCAAAUUGACCAACAUGUUUCUUUUUUGACAUUUAAUCCUCCAAAAAUAUUUUAAUAUUAAACCUACGAUUUUUCUCCAACUAAAACGUCAACCAAAGGACUUUCAAAAGAAAAAGAAAAACGUCUACAUAUAUUUGAAAUUAUUUGCAAGUAUAAAUAAUAAUUAUCACAACAACUAAUAUUUAUAAAUUAUGAUUAUGUUAAUACUAGACAUAAUUUUUGUACUUAGAUAGAAAUAAAGUCAGAUAAAAUUUAAAUUAAAAAUUUACACAUGAAUGUAAGAUUUUAAAACUGUUAAGACCUCGUAUUAUUGAUACAAGUACAUCACGUGGGCUCAACUGCUUUAUCUCAUCAAGUCAGAAUGAAUGACAAUAUCUGUCUUGUCACAGAUAUCCUCGUCCCAUCGAAGACUUCCCUCAAGAGUUCCGUAAUGAUGGCCAAAUGAUAAGUCCAACACGUUAAAAUCAUCUUGCACGGGAUCUUUAUUUAUAAAUACCUUUAGGAACGAUGAAUAAAAGAUAGAGUCUUCAUGAAUACUAUGCCUACACUUUGCCAACAUUCUUUCAACCUCAGUCUUUACGUUUUCUUUACCCCCACACCCUAUAAUCUCCAACUCUCCGUCCCAACUAGGUGAACCGACCUUCUUAGCAGCCACUUUUCUCUCUUUUAUACUUUUUCCUUGUUGUACACUCUAUGAAUAAUAUUGAAAUAUUAUAUUAUGCUAAGAUUCAUGUUGAAUAAGAUCAAAUUUAUAUGAAUAUACAAAAAUAUUUAAUAUUAUAUUAAAAUAGGUUAUAUAUAUGAUUUCACAUUUCCCACCACGCUUUAAGGAGGUAUAAUCAUAGGAAGUGGAGCCCUCGUAGUAUUUUAAUUAAAUAAUAAUAUAAUAAUUUGAAAGAUUUUGCCCACUAAAUAACCUUUUAAAACUUUAGGAAUUUCCCUUUUUUUAUCUAGUCCGAAUCUGCAUGGACCCCUACAAAUGUGUUUGCGUUAUUUAUGAUGUGUUUUAAGAAAAAAAAUAGUGAAAAAGGUGGAUUUUAGGGAAAUUCUUUUUAAAAAAUAAGUUGGUUAUUGGAUGAAUUAGGAAAAUAAAUUAUAUUUGUCGAGUCGAAUAUCAUAGUAGAAAAAGUGAUUUUUUAAGAUACGAUUUUAGCAUAAACACAUUUUAUACAUUAACAUUCGACUCAACAAAUAUCACCUAAAAAGAAGCACAUUACCAAUUAUAUAUACCACAACUCUUCUCUCAUUCUCUAAAUUAAUUCUCCCAAUUUCAUACUUUUAUAAAUUAUAUUUCCUUCAAUUAUUUAUAUUAUUUUCUAAAUAAACUUGAAAGUUUUUUUUUCUCUCAAAUAUUUUGUCUUGGUUCAAUUUUCUCCACCAAAACUUUAUCAAGUAAUUUAAGCUAAGUUAUUUAUUUUCAAGUGUUAUGUAGUUUUAAUAUUAGAUUAAUCUAAUUUUAGGUUGCUUGCAACUAUUAUUAUGUUAUAGUAAAGUGAAUGAUAUGUUAAAAAGAUUAUAAAUUUUGUUAUAGUCUAUAUUAAUAUUUUAUUAUUUAAUAUUAGUAUUUUGUUACUUUGUCAAAUAUUUGUAUAGCAAUAUAUUCUAUUUGAAUUUUUUUACAGAUCUAAAAAUGGCAAUGCCACUGAUAAGUUUAGAUCACAAACAUCAUCAACAUACUUUAUGCAAACCCAAUAACCAAAAUCACAUGCAACAAUUGCAUGUGAGUAUGGAUAACGAAGUGCCUGAAAUCCCUCAUACUCGCAGGUCCUUUCUUGCAAGCUGACAUGGUACAAUCCUUUGAUAAUACCCCCAUGCAAUAAAUAGUAUUUAUACACGAGUAUAAUUGUACCAUAAUGGAGUUCGAUUUUGUCCGAUUUUCCUCCAUGGCUUUCUUCAAUUCCUCGCACCAAAUGUGCUCGUCCUUCAUCUUCUUAGGAUUUAGUGCCCUAACUGGAGUUUAUUCGUCAUUUAUGCUUGUAUUUUUUUCAAACAGGUUGAUUUAAAUAAAACUUCAUUAUUCAAAUUAAUAUAAUUUGUAUAUAUCUUCAAUAGCUUUUGCAUGAGAAACAAAAUGUACGCAAAUAAUGGCUUAUUGAUUACCUAAUGUUUAACUAAUACUAAGUUGCAUUACGUGGUCAGAUUGUAAUGUGAGAAGACAACUUAUAUUAGUAGGUAAUUUGAAAAGGUUCAUAGUCUGAUGAACCGAAAUUAAGCAAAUUGAUUAAAAGACUAUCAUGCCAUCUAUCAAGUCCAAAUGGAAGAUACAUUGUCUUGGGUAUUAGAGCGGUUUCCUCGUAAAAGAUAGAUGCAUAGAUGUGAUUUGGAUUGAGAACGCAUCAGAUAGUACCCAAGUUGAAUUAAUCCUAGAUCCAUUUAUGGAUUAACAUUCAUAACAUGGCUUACCUCAAUAUUGAAUAAGUGACUGACUAUGUUUACGUGACUCGUAUGCAUUGAUGUAUUAAAAGGCUGUGUUCAAAUAACUAAAGAGCGGAAAGCUGAUACGUCGAGUAUAUGACUUUUGCAUGAAAUAGCUUCAUUUACAACAGUGAAAGUUAUAGUCUAAUAAAGUGUAAAUGAUACCCUCUCAUUGACAUCCUCUUAUUGAAAUUACAUGAUAGAUGAAAAAGUAACAUGGCCACGGGUCAUUUGUCUAAGAUAAAUGAUUUAAUUACUAUUUGUUAGUAAUUGACUUUUCAUUAAGGAAGAUGUAAUAGUUACCACAAGAUAAAUAGGAUUAAUGAUAUUGGGUGAACAAAUUUAACCCAAAAAGAUUAAUGAUAUCCUAUAAAAGUAACUUACUUAUGACAAGGUCAUUGUACAAACACUUAUUAAGUUGCUUUCAUAAUGGUAUUUAAUAAGGGAGAGUUCAAUCAUGGUAGUUUAGUGGAAUGACUCCGUGCUUAAAUAAUGUUGUAAUUAAUAGGCGAAGGGUCGAAACUUAAUAAAAGAUUAUUUGAUCCCUAAUUAUAAUUGUUUAAUCGGUCCCUUCGCUAGCUUGAUAUAAUCCAAAACAAAUUGCAUAUAUAACUGAUACUAUGAAAUGAAUGAAAACGGUGGCUAAGAGAAAUAGAUCACAUAUAUCACUAUCCACAGUGAAUGGAUUUUCUCGUUAAGUAUAAAGAUAACCUAGAAAUUAAAUUAAUUUCUUUAAAUUAUUAUUUAAUUGAAUGCAAUUAAAUAAUUGAAGUUCGAAGUGAGAAUUAAGUUAAUUAGUCAUCAUAGUUUUAUUGAACGAGGCAAUUAAAUAUCAAUAUCAAUGAAAUUAUUAUUUUGGCUUUUCCUUGAUUAUCCCCGAUUUGAUUCAAUUUUUGAUCUAAACAAUUAUUUAGACAAUUCAUCAAUACCAAACACUUUUAUAUCAUUCCAUGAUAUGCAUUAACCUAUUUAAUUCUUUUUUUAAAUUCCCUUUAAGUUUUGCAUUUUUUCAAUUUAGUCCCCAAAAUCAAAAUAGUCAUAACUUUCAAUUUUGAACUUUAGUUUCAAAAUUGAUCUCAAUCACAUACUUUUUGGACCCUCUAUAUCUAUUAUUUUAGAAUUUUCACAUCAAUUAUACAAUUUAUACAUUUUAGUCCUUUUGUACAAAACUAACAAUUAAACUUUAUAAUCUAGCCAUUUUCACAUCUAAUUAGCUUAAAAUCUAUCAAUUUAACACCAAUUUCUUCAUGAAAUAAACAAUGAAAACUUUUAAAAAAUUUAACAGUUUUAGAAAUUGGUACAUGGGCUAGCUAAAUCAAGCUCUUAUGACCUCAAAAACAUAAAAAUUAUAAGAAAAUGACUUGAAUUACCUUAGAAAUAGAUGACUGAAAGAUUUUGAAGCUCAAAACCCUAUUCUUUUCUAUGUUUCAGUAGAGAAGAAGAUGAAUAGAAAAAGAAAUGACUUUUUCUCUUUUUAAUUUUAACUUAUAUACUUUUAGUUAAACUUAAUUAAUCUAAAAUAAAUUAACUAAAAUUUAAUUAACUAAAAUUUAAGCUUAAUUAGCCAAAGUUAGUGGAUUUUAACCUCAUUCACCACCGUUUGAAGAAAUAAAAUGGUCUAUUUACCACUGUUUUAUACAUAAAAGAAAAGGAACUAAGGCUACUACUUACUUAUCCUUGUGUAGUUGAUUCCUACGCUAUCAACAUGUAGAGUUGAUUUAGCUUCUUCUAGAGGUUCGUUGAACAAAUGAUAUCCAAGCACCCUUGUUUUUGCACCAUUAGACAAAUCAUCGGCUAUGCCAUUUGCCUCUCGAUAAACAUGCUCUAGAUGAACAAUCCAUCAUCUUUGCAGCAUUUUAUGUAUUGCACGGAUCAUAACAUUUAAAGAAGGCUCUGGAUUUCUUUGACCGAUAAGAUUAAUAUUUGUCAAACUAUCUAUCUCGAGAACUAGUUGUUGUGUCCCUAAAAACCAUGCCAUACUCAGACCAUCAUAAGCUCCCUAUAGUUCAACGUUCAAAACAAAAUUUGAGCCAAUAUUUAUUACAAACCUUGUAAUGCCCCAACCAUUAAGAAUUUCUUUUGCUACAUUUGUUAAGUAACCUGACUUGCUUCAGUGGUUAAGUAUUUGGAUGGGGAUUCAGGGUCUGGAGUUCGAACCCCUGUGCAAACAAUUGGGUGUAUUUAUUUUCUUUUGUUGUUCUCACCAUGUGCUGCGUUUGAGAGGAGUUGGUGUUUUAAUUAGAUUGGGAUUUGUGUAGGGAUAAGAUUGGUAUAAUUUGUUUUAUCUCUAGAGAAUUAAAUCCCAAAACAUCUUCUCAUACCCUAUUUUUCUACUUCACGUUUCCCAUUUCUUCAACGGUUAGUAUUAUUAUUUAUUUUGCUUUAUCUUUUUUUAAAAAAAAAAAAGGGUUUCUUUCCUAUUUCUCAUGGUUGUUCCCUGUUUCCCCAAGUUCAUGCCACCACUUUUAAUUUCUACUAUUGCAUCUUAUCUUUUUUUUCUUUCUUUUUCCUAUUUUUUCCCUUUCAUUAUUUUAUUUAAUUUGGUUCUUUACUGGUCGUCAUCAAAGUGGACAGCCACUGUAUUCGUUCCUUACUUGGCAUUAUAUUUAUAUUCUGUAUUAUCUUAAGUCCUAUUAAUGUUCUUGCCUUUUUGUUCUUGUGCUAUUGGGUUUGUAUUCGGGGGUUGUGUUUGUAUUCGGGCGUGUGGACUUAAAAUUCUAAAAAUCUUCCUAACACCGUACACGUAGUUUUGAUUGACCAUGGGCUUUUCGAGGGUUGGUAUGUGAUUAAAUGACUGUAAAAUAUGAAAUCAAGCCAACUAUUCGCGUGAAGUCUUAUACAUGUUUGUAUAAACCGCGUAAUAGGUUAAAGGGAAACUGAAACGGAUUAUGUGUGUUCUGUAUCUGUUAUGCUAUGUAUAUAUACUAAGUAUGUUUGAUAUUUGUUAUAUUUUCUAUCGCCAUCUGGGAUGGGUUACAUAUAAUAUGAGGAAGUGUUUCUGUGAAAAGACGAUAAUCUGCCUAUUGAGCCGGCAGCUCAUCUACAACUAUUCUGUAAAGUGUCCUAUUGACACUAAGUGGUGUGUAGGGUUAGAUAGGUGUUUUAGACCCAUAUGGUGUGCUAGGAUGGUCGGAGUUGGUGUGUAGUAGUUCGAGGUAGCAUUAUAUGUUUGUAUCUGUUCUGCUCCGUUAUGAAUUUGUUUUUGAUAAAUCUGUUUGAUAUGCAUUAACUAUUUUAAGUUACUCAUUAUACACUGAGUUUCGGAAACUCACUUUCUGUUUGAUUGAUAUUUUCAGGUAAUCCUCAGACUUAGGCGGGUUUGUGCAAUCGGGAGCUCGGUUAAUGUCAUAUUCUAUUUAAAUUUGAUUUAUUUAAAUUUUGGUAUUUGAGUUUUAUAAAUUUUAGACUCUUUGGACUGUUUAGAUUGUUUUAUAUUUAAAACUUUAUUUCCGUAUUUUGCUUAAUACUAUUCAAAUAUUUUAGUCGACAAAAUUCGCUUUUCUGCAAAAUUAAAGGCUUUCAAACAACGAACAAUGUUUCCCAAAUAUCACUUUUUAAUGAGUCUCCACAGUGAAAAUUAUAGGUUUUUAGAAAAUAUAAGCAAACAAUGUUUUUAAUAAAAUAGUUUGGUAAGAUAUGAUUUUGAAUAAAUCCAAGAUUUUGAAAGUUUAUGAUGUUUUUCCAGAUACACAAAAACCAAAUUUCAAUCAUAUUACGUAACAAAUCCAGAUUUGGCCAUAACAUCUGAGCCGAGUUUGGAGUGUUCAAUUUAGUGUUAUCAAAGCCAAGUUUCAAAACUCGAGCUGUAAAAUUUUAGGUUCAAUAGUGUUUUUGUGAAAACUGUUUGUCUGAGUAAAUUUUAUUUUUCCAUGAAUCAGAAAAAUAAUUCUGUGAAAUAACAAGUCUCCAACGCCGAUUCUAUCAGUACUUCUAACUUAGAAAAACUUUAGUUUAGAAACUCUUAAAUGAUUAGAACUGUACUGUGAUAGUUAGAGACUGAAACACUUUUGAAACUUCUUUUGUAAACCUUUGAGCAUAAAAUAUAUGUUAAUAAAUACGGAAGCUAAUAGAAAAUCUGUAAUGUAGAUAUUAUAUACGAUGAGAACUUGUGGAUCAUGUGGACGCGGUACCUGUAGGCGCGACGGGCACUGUAGAGGGGCUCAAGUUGAGUCGUCCUCGAUGGGUAGUAUACUCAAUCUGGAUAUCAGUGAGACACCGACUACACCUACUACUGAGACCGGGUCUCAAAGUCACUCUGUUGGGGACAACAAAUUGUCCCAAGCCAUGCUGAGAGUUUUGGAGAGGGUCGCUAGGCUCCAUUUUGAUUAUGGGAGUCGUGGGUCGGUAGCUUAACGAAUCUGGUCGAAUGACGCUGAAUUAUUUUGGGGUGUCAUAAGAGUCUCCCCGUUUGUGGCUGAAUACUAGUUGGAGGCCACUGAGAGGUUAAUGAGUAACAUUAACUGCACUAUUGAGCAGAAUCUGAAGGGUGCAGUGUCUCUACUUUGCAAUGAGGUGUACCAACGGUGGUUGACAGUUGAAGAGGGUACUCAAUCGGAUCAUAUUACUUGGGAUUAUUUUAAGAGUGUAUUUCAAAGUAAAUAUAUGGGGGCGAGUUAUAUGGACGCUCGUAGACACAAGUUUAUGACAUUUACUCAGGGGGACAAAAUUGUGGCCGGUUAUAAGGCUAAAUUUUUUAGACUGAGUAGAUAUACUCGUGGGAUGGUAUCAACUGAUUAUGAUAAGUGCAUUUGCUUCGAUGAAGGAUUGAGGGAUAAUCUGAGGGUUCUGAUACCUCCACAGAGGGAGCAUGUUUUUACCGUUUUUUUGGACAAUGCAAGAAUUGCUGAGUAGGAAUAAGAGGGAUUCAGAGCCCUCUAGUUCUGCUUAGAGGCAUAAGAAAUGGGCUAGAUUUGAUGAGCCUUCAAGGGUUGAGGUUCUAGUUGGUCCUAUUGUGGCUCAGUCGUGUAGGGAUUGUGGUAGAUGCUAUCUGGGCGAAUGUUGAAGGAGGUUAGGAGCUUGUCUACGAUGUGGGUCAAUGGAUCACCAUAUUAGGAAAUGUCCACAGCGUUCCGGUCAGAUGCAAACUCCAGCUCUGAGGUUUGUUCAGGCUCAGUGGGUAGUUCAGCAGCCGCCUAGGGGUCGUGGUCCGGCCAGGGGUGGUAACGAUUUGGGUAGAGGUCAGAGAGCACUGGGCAAGGGUGGUAAUCAGACUAAGGCAAGGCAACCUACACUGGUAUAUGUAGCUAAGCGUCGCGAGGACAGAGAUGUUACAAAUGUUAUCGUCGGUAUGUUUUUUAUUUAUACUGCUAUGUAUUUUGCAUUAAUAGAUAUAGGAUCAAUACACUCCUAUAUAGCUAGUUCUACUUCUACAAAUUUGGAGAUUCUUGUUGAAAGUACUUUUGGAGAGAUUAUUGUACUUAGUCUAUUGGUUCAAUCAAUUUGGGUUAAUAGACUGUAUAGGAAUGUACCAUUGGAGAUACAAGGGGUUGUGUUUUCGGCUAAUCUGAUGGAGCUACCAUUUGAGGAAUUCGAUUUGAUUUUGGGAAUGGACUGGCUCGUGGAGCAUCGAGUCAGUUUGGAUUGCACUACUAAGAGGGUUGUUCUGAUAUCUGAGAAUGAUAUAGAAGUAAUUAUAAUCGAUGAGCAUCGGGAUUACUUGUCAAAUGUAAUCUCCGCUCUUAUGGCUGAAAAGUUAAUUUGUAAGGGGUGUGAGGUAUUUCUGGCCUACAUUUGUAAUUCUUCUUCUAUGGAUUCAUUUGUUGGGAAUAUUCAGACAGUUAAAGAGUUUUUAGAUAUUUUUCUGAGGAGUUACCAGGUUUGCCUCUGGAUAAGGAGGUUGAGUUCGGUACCAAGGUUCUACCAGGUACAGCUCUAGUGUCCAUUGUUCCCUACCGCAUAGCACUGAAGGAGCUUAUGAAAGUAAGGGUUCAGCUUCAGGAACUCCUUGAUCAGAGGUUGAUUCGUCCUAGAGUGUCUUUAUGGGGGCACCAGUUUUGUUUGUGAAGAAGAAUUACGGUACUAUAAGGAUAUGUAUAGAUUACUGUCAGCUAAAUAAAUUGACGAUAAAGAACAAGUACUCACUUUCGAGGAUCAAUAAUUUGUUCGAUUAGUUUCGUGGAGCUUCUAUGUUCUCCAAGAUAGAUCUUCGUUCUGGGUACUAUCAGCUUAAGGUUAAGAAAGUUGAUGUUCACAAGACUGCUUUCAAGACUCCUUUUGGGAACUACGAGUUCCUAGUCAUGCCUUUUAGGUUUAUGAAUACUCUAACUACAUCCAUGGAUCUUAUGAAUUAGGUUUUCCAGUCGUAUUUGGAUUAGUUCAUCGUGGUCUUCAUCGAUGACAUUCUAGUAUACUCUAAGACUGAGGAUGAUCAUGACCAGCAUCUCAGAGUAGUUAUUCGAAUACUUCAUGAGAAACAACUCUACGCUAAGUUGAGCAAAUACGAAUUCUGGUUGAGGGAGGUAACUUUUCUGGGUUAUGUGGUUUCUACUGAAGGGAUCCAAGUUGAUCGUAAGAAAAUUGUGACUGUGCUUGAGUGGAAACUGUAACAGCCCGUUUUUAGUGAAAUUAGAAUAGUGGUUUCAAGACCACAAAUCUGACGAGUAAAUUUUUAUUUUUUUAUUAUUUUAAUUUUUAUGGAAUCAUAUUAAGGUUGUAUUAGAAUUUUGUUAAGAAAUUUUGAUGUUUGCAUGAUUAAUUAGGUGAAAAGGACUAAAUCAUAAAAAAAGUGUAAAAGUAGAGUUCGAUUAGUUAAAAUGGUCAAAUGGUUAUGAAAUUUUAAAGUGAAUGGACUUAGAUGAUAAUUAGACCAUUUGAAUAGUUAGUUGAUAUUCAUGGCAAUGUUUUAUUUAAAUUAUUAAAGUUUUUAAAGGUUAAAAUGGUAAUUAGGUAAUUAAUGUGAAAACAAAAGAAAAUAACAAGGUAUCAUCUUUACUUUCCUUAACCAAAACCAAUUUUGAGAAGGAAAACCUCUAUGGAUGAAUUCUUCAUUCGUCCAAGUUUUUUUUAGUGCAUGUAAGUGAUUCCAAGCCCUGUUUUUAAUGAUUAUUUUCUUAAGGUCGAUUUCGCUUAAGCCUAGGGGUCAAGUUGUAAAAUUGUUAAAGGUUGAGAGUUAUGUUAUGAAUGUUCUUGAAUGAUAUUUGAUGUUAAAUGAUAGAUUAUGAACCUUUGUUGAAAAAUAAAAAAGUUUUGUUAAGUGAUUUUUGAUGAAUUUUAGAAUUAAGGAUUAAAUUAUUAAAGGUAUAAAUUAUAGGGUUUUAUUGUGAAAAGGUGAUAAAUAUGAGUAGUUUCAAGGUCCCUUGCAUGUUUGGUUAACAUGGAAUUUGAUAGAAAUGGUUAGAUUUGAAGUUAUAAGCUUAAGGACUAAAUUGUAAAAAGUUAAAACUUUAAGGGAAAAAUGGUAAUUAUGCAUAAAUGUGAAAUAUGGAUUGAAUUGAAUGUUUGAUAUUAAUUGAAAUACUUAAUUGAAUAUAAUUAUUUGUUUAGAUCAAGACAAACCUCAACCGGAUCUAAAUCGAGGAAGACGAAAGCUACGGAUUAGCUAGAUCAUAUUUCUACAUCCUAGUCGUCAAGGUAAGUUCGUAGUGUUUCAAUAUGUAAACAAAUUUCUAUUUGUGUACUUAUAUUAUGAUGCUUUUUUUAUUAUGUUUUUUAGAAGAUUAUUGUAUAAUAGCAUAUACGUGCCACUAUUUGUACUUCGGUACCCCUAAAUGCACUUUUAUGCCCCUGUUUACACUCCAAUAACUUUGAAUGAAAUAAUAUAUGAAUCACAUUCAAUUUCUUUUAGAUUAAAUAAUAUACUAUGUUCUUACUAAUCUCUAUAAGCUUAUUCGUUAUUGUGGAUUGUUUUGUAGAUCAUCGUUGCUAAUAUUUUGGACGGAUCAAACCAUCUGCUUACACUAUCCAUUGAUGUUGGUAGUUUUUGUAUCUCCUAGGGUAGUGGCAUGUAUAAACUUAUGUAGAUGAAUUUGUGUGUGAAAUAUUUAGGAUGUUUUAAAAUGGUGUUUUGAUGAAUAUGUAAAUAGUAAUUAAAUGUGUUAUGUAUGCAUAAUAGGUUAUAAUGUUUGCUUUAGAAAGUACUUUUGGUCACUUUUGAUAAUGAAUGAGAAUGGCUUAAAUGGUAUGAUUUGAAUUGGUAUGUCAUAGCCAAGUUAUGACAUUUUUUCGAAAGUAUUGAACUAGAUUUUGAUGUUUGAAAUUAGGUAAAUUUGACAUGUUUAGGUAAGUUUUUAUGAUUACUUUUGAGGUGCCUUUGAAUGGCAUAUUGCUUAGUUGAAAUAGGACUUUUGGAAUGGAAAAUAUAUGCAUAUUUAGGUAUGGUUUGAUGCUUUAUAGGUGUGCACAACUUGUUCAAAUGAUUACACACGAUAUGGUGUUGAGGAUGACUUGUUUUUGGUGCAUUUUAGGUCAACAUGGCUAGAGACACGAACAUGUGACUCAGCUAUAUGUAACACAUGGCCUGGUGACACGGCCAUGUGUCUCCUGAAGGUUCCUUUGUAUGCAAGCCAGUGAGUUACACGGCCUGGCACACAGGCUUGUGGGGUAAUUUUAAGAGUUAGAUGGCCUGACACACGAGCAUGUGACACAGCCGUGUGACCCUACUCAGAGAGUUACAUGGGUGAGGACACCGGCUGGGACAUGGUUGUGUGUCCCUAGUUCGAAGGUUACACGGCCUGAGACAUGGGCGUGUGUCUCAGUCAUGUAAGACACACAAACUGGCCCACGGCCAUAUAACCCAUGUAUUCAAAUUUUCUAUAACUUUUUAUUAGACUUUUCAAAUGUCUUAAUUUAGUCCCGAAUUAUUUCUAAAAUAUUUCUAAUGCCUCAACGACUUGAUUUAGGGACGGAAUAAGUAUGUAUGAUUGUAUUAUGAUAUGUUUAUGAUAGUGUAUGAUAUUUAUGUUUAAAUUUUCUAAUUAUACGGUAAUGGUCCGUAACUCUAAUCCAGUGAUGGAUACGGGUUAGGGGUGUUACAGAAACAACCUAGGAAUGUUUCAAAGAUCCAUAGCUUCUUCGGGCUAGCGGGUUACUAUCAGAGGUUUUUUGAGGGGUUCUCACUUAUCACAACUCCUUUGACUAAGUUGUUUCUUAAGAGUGACCCAUUUGUCCGGUCUGAUGAGUAGGAAUCGAGCAUUGAGAAGCUCAAAUCCAUUUUGACUCAGGUUCCUAUUCUGAUACAACCUGAAUUCAGUAAGGAAUUUGUGGUUUACAAUGAUGUGUCAUACGUCGGUUUGGGUUGUGUUCUGAUGUAAGACGGUAAAGUAGUAACUUAUGCGUCCCAACAGCUUAAGUCACACGAAGGCAACUAUCCUACACAUGAUCUUGAGUUAGUUGCAAUUGUCUUCGCCUUAAAAAUCUGAAGGCAUUAUCUGUAUGGUGAGAGGUGUAUCAUUUACACCGAUCACAAAAGCCUCAAGUAUCUCCUUACUUAGAAGGAGCUAAACCUUAGGCAACGUAAAUGGAUUGAGUUGCUUAAGGAUUACAACUGUACUAUUGAGUAUCAUCCUAGUAAGGCCAAUGUGGUGGCUGAUGCUCUUAGUCGUAGAGCAAUGUCUGAUUUAAGGGUGAUGUUUGCUUGCUUAAGUUUGUUUGAUGAUGGGAGUUUGUUAGCUUGCAAGUUAAGUCGACUUGGAUUGAUUAGAUUGGGGUUAAAAAGUUGGAGGAUGAUUUUUUUGUUUUGCGAUUCAGUCAGGUUGGGGAUGGUAGUACGUUUGAUUUUGGCCUUAAUAGUGAUGGGGUUUUGAGUUUCUGAGAAUGGGUCUGUGUACCUAACGACUCUUAUUUGAGGCAAUCUAUUCUGUGAGAAGCACAUAGUAGCCCCCAUGCUAGACAUCCCAGCGAAAACAAGAUGUAUCGUGAUUUGUGUAAGUUAUACUGGUGGUCGGAAUUGAAACGGAAGGUAACAGAUUUUGUUUCUCGUUGUCUAACAUGCCAACAAGUUAAGGCCGAGCACUAAUUGCCUUCAGGUUUGCUUCAACCUAUUAAGAUUCCCCUAUGGAAAUGGGAACAUGUAACUAUGGACUUCGUUAGUGGGUUGCCCUUAGCACCCACUAAGAAGGAUUCUGUGUGGGUCAUUGUGGAUCAGUUGACCAAGUCUGACCACUUCAUUCCUGUUAGGACAGGUUACUCUAUUCAAAAAUUGGCUAAAUUAUAUAUUUCUAAGAUCGUGAGACUUCAUAGGGUUCUGGUCUUGAAUAUUUUUUAUAGAGAUCCUUGCUUCACUUCUCGAUUUUGGAAGAAGUUUUAUGAGGUUCUAGGUUCAAGAUUAGAUAGAUGGUUAAUCUGAGAGGGUGAUUCAAAUACUAGAGGAUAUGCUUCGGAGUUGUGUGAUUUAUUUUCGAGAUAGCUGGGAAGAGUUUCUACUAUUAGCUAAGUUCGCUUACAAUAAUAAUUUCCAGUCUAAUAUUCAGAUGACACCUUACGAGACUCUAUAUGCUUGUAAGUGUCGUACUCUGUUGUGUUGGACUGAGUUAGGUGAACGAUAAGUUUUGGGUCCUGAGUUGGUUUCUGAGACUGAGGAUAAAGUUAAAUUAAUUCGGGAUCAUAUUAAGGUGGCUUCUGAUAAACAAAAGUCUUAUUCGAAUCUGAAGAGGCAAGAUAUCAAGUAUUUUAUGGGUGACUAUGUUUUCCUUAAGGUAUCUCAGUAGAAGAAGGUCUUUAGGUUUGGAUGUAAGGGCAAGUUGAGCCCUAGGUUCAUUGGACCGUAUCAGAUUCUAAAAGUGUAAGGCCAGUUGCUUAUCAAUUAGAGCUACCACCGGAGUUGAACCGUAUCAUGAUGUGUUUCAUAUCUGCAUAUUGAGGCGAUAUCAGUUUGACCUAUCUCAUAUUGUUUUUCUUGAGGAGCUUGAGGUAAGACCAGAUUUCACAUUUGAGGAGGAACCAGUUCAAAUUUUGGAUCCGGGAAUUAAGGUCUUGAGAAGGAAGUCCAUCCCUUUAGUGAAGGUUCUGUGGCGGAAUCAUGUCAUUGAGGAAGCCACGUAGGAACCUGAGGACUCGACUCGAUAGCAAUAUCAGCAUCUAUUUAAGUUAGGUAAAUUUUGAUGUCGAAAUUUUCUUUUAUGGGGUAAAGUUCUAACACCCCAAGGUUUAAGACUUUGUUUUGCUACAUUUUGUCAAGUAAUCAGACUUGUUUCGGUGGUUAAGUAUUUGGAUAGGAGUUUAGGGUUCGGGGUUUGAACCCUUGUACGAGCAAUUAGGUGUAUUUAUUUUCUUUUGUUGUUCUCUGUGUGUGCUGUGUAUGAGAGGAGUUAAGGUGUAGUUGGGGUUUUAAUUAGAUUGGUAUUUGUGUAGGGCUAAGGUUGGUAUAAUUUGUUUUCUCUCUAGGGGAUUAAAUCCCGAAAAUAUCUCCUCAUACGCUAUUUUUCUGCUUCACGUCUCCCAUUUGUUCAACUGUUAUAAUUAUUAUUUAUUUUUCUUUAUCUUUUAUUUUUUUUUAAAAAUAAGAAGAAGGGUUUCUUUCCCAUUUCUCACAGUUGUUCCCUAUUUCCCCAAGUUCACGUCGCUACUUCUAAUUUCUACUAUUGCAUCUUGUUCUUUUUCUUUCUUUUUCUCAUUUUUUUCCCCUUUCAUUAUUUUCUUUGCUUUGGUUAUUUACUGGUUGUCGCCAAAGUAGACUGCCAUUGUAUUCCUUUUAUGCUUGGUAUUAUAUUUAGAUUAUGUAUUAUCUUAAGUCCUAUCAAUGUUCUUGCCUUUUUGUUUUUGUGCUAUUGGGUUUGUAUUCGGGGGUUGUGUUUGUCACAAUUAUAUUAUUAGGAGACGGUUAAGAGGAAAUUUGUGUACCUUCAGCCACUUAAACGACAAGUUAUUGCUGUUCAUUAUUGUGUUUUGGGAAUUUCGUGGUGGCUUUUACAUCGUAAUCAGAUUAGGUGUGUAACGAGAAACCCAAAAAACAAUAAUCGAUGAAAGCUGAAAAAGUUCUGAUGGGCCUGGAAACCAUCAAAAAUAGUUCAUACAAUUAAAAUAACUUUAAGUAGUAGUAAAGAGUGGUAGUAGGGUCGAGUCCACAAGGAUUGGUAUUAUAAUCAACUUUCGCGUUUAACUUGUGAUCAAAAUUUUUUUCGUGUCGAUAAUCGUGGCAAUAAUCGUGCCUACAACUCCAAACGAACCUGCUGAAAAAUAAACAAAUAAAUGAGGGAAGUUUUGAAAUGUUUAGAAAUUAAAUAAUUUAAAAUAGCAUAAAUAAACAAUUAAAUAAAUUGGAAAUAAAAUUAAAUUGAGAAAUAAAUUUGGAUUUUGUAAACAGAGAUAAUAAGCCUUAGCCAUAGACUCGGUGGAUUCCGAAUUUAGAAUCGAUCCACGAAAAUUAAUUUUUUCCUCCAAACCAUAAGCUGGUUAUAGCAAUUAAGAACGUCCUAACCACCAAUUCUUCCUCUCGUAGCUGGUCCCAGUACGACCUGCAAACCAACCCUUAUCGAUUAUCUAACCGAGAUACGCGUAUUCCUGAUUCAAGAUUCCGGCAGCCUUGCAUUCUGAAGAACCCAAAUCGAAUUAAUGGACUCAACUGUGCAGGUCAUUUAAACCCAAUCAUUUCUCCCUUAAUUUGUUCUCGAAGAUCCGAAUACAGCAUGGCUGACUCGUUUCCCCAACUGUCCACAAACACGACUCCAACCCAACGCGCUUUUUGAUUUGAAAUCACGUUAACUUUAAGGGAUGAAUUUGUCAAUCCUGAUACUUAGGAAAAUAGUGAAUACUGAUUGAAAGGAUUUUUAGUAUGGAUACGUAUCUCACGAUUCUUGAUAAGAAAGAAUACUGGCCUAAAGCUAGGUUAGAAUUUAGUGAAACAUGAAAUUACUAGACCAUUUCGGUGACCAAUGUAACCUUAAAAAGUUGGCCAUAAUGUUUAGGCCGAGUUUGAGAGACUACAUGAGAGAUGCUACAGCAAAAUAUCCUUAAGGACAAGGCAAUCACACCUCAAACAGUAAAACCAUCCUUUAACUUUGAUUUUCCGUCCAACAUUUUACAAAAGAUUCACUUGUACUUACCAACUAUGAUGGUGAAAAAUGUCUAACCAUUCAAGUUUCAACUUGACCUUAGAUCUACUCAGGCCUACUCGAUGUGAAAAUUAGCUUGUUUAGGCUAUAUCUAGGUCUAUCCAAUCGUACGUAGGUGACCCAAUUAUACCUUUGGUUAUAUCUUAGUUGCUUGAUUAUUAACUUUUUUUUUUAUUUUGUCACUCAAUUUUUCAAAAUUAAAUAUUUUAGUUACUCUUUCGUUAAUUGCCAUUAGAUGAGUGGUAGAAAGCUUACAGAAGCUUCUUUUAUUGGCUUAGUAACAAAUUUAGCCUUCCAAUGUUUACACAUUUUAUCAAUUUGAUUCUAAAUCUAAAAAAUUCAACAAAAUUAGCUCUCAAUGUUUACAAAAGUUUUCAUUUUAGUUCGAAUUGUAAAUAAUUCAAUAAAUUUAUCCCUCAAUAUUUACAAAAAUUUCAAUUUAGUUGUAAUUCUCAAAUUUUCUAAAAUGAAGAAAGUUAUUUUAAAAACUUCAUUUUUUAAUAUUCCUUUAAUGUACCUCCAAAACCCACUGAACAAUAAGAGUAUUUAAAGUCAUUCGUAUUGUGUUCAUUUUAAACUCAUAUCACCUUCGUGAAUAUGGUAAAAAAAUCUUGUUGCGUUAAAUCCAACUAUCUAAGUGUCACAUUUUAGACCAAUAUCAUAUUAUUUAAUUAAAUUCCUUUAAAAAAUUAACAAUUUUUUAAACUAUUACAAAACAAUUAUUUUUAAUUUUUUCUUAUUUUAAAAAUAUAAAAAUACCUAAUCUUCGAAUAGAGAAAAUAAUGUAAUGUGAAAUCUUUCAUGAAAUGAAAAACCGAAAAAAGUUUUUUUUUCACCUUAUUUUUUUUCUAACUUGGACUGUCGUUAGUAACUUCCCAACUUAGGUAGUACAAGUACAUCAGUCAAACGACUAAAGUCUUAGAAAUCUAGUCCAGGAAUUGAAUAUAUGAGUUGAAUUGAAGUAAGGGAGAUAGCUUCAUCAAUUCCAUAUCCCAUGGGGAUGUCCAACUUCAUCUCUUUAGUACCCAUCGAUCAAUUUCAUGUUCAGUUCUUUUUGAAUCAUUUGAUAUAUCGUUUUUUAGUAUUUUUUAUUUUUAAUACAUAUGUUUUAUAUAUGAUUUAUUUACACUUUUUAGAUUUUUAAUUCAUUCUUAUAAUUUUUUAUCCAAAAUACUUUUUUUUCCUUUUUUUUAAAACUUUUAGAAUUAAAACUAAAUCGACAAAUUUUGUAAAUGCAGAAAGAUAAUUUUUUUCUUUUUUAGAAUUGGAAUUAAAAGGAUAAAUUUUGUAAAUAUUAGAGGGCUAAAUUUGUUUAGGUCAAUAAAAGAAGAACACAUAAGCUUUCCAUCACUUAUCUGACAACAACUAAUGAGAGAGUGACUAAAAUAUGACUAAAUUAAAAAAAUUAAUAUUUUGCGACCAAAAUAGAACUAAAGUCAUAGGUAGGUUGACUAUUCUUGUAGUUUACCCUUUAAUUUAUAAAUUUUUUUAUAUUUUAAAUUUUAUAAAUAUUUAUAACAUAUAUUUUAUGAGAAAAUAUUUGGGUACUUUGCUAGUGAAGUUUUUUGACUCCAUAAGCAAGGUUAAGGGGGUCGACAAGUAUCUUAUAUAAAUAUAGUAAAAUAUUAAAUAAAUAAAUAUUUAUAAACAAAAUAAAGGACACAUGACGGUUAUUAAAAGUAUAAAAAUAAUACAUUACCAGUAUAUCAAAUAUUAACCCAUAUUUUAGUACGAGGAAAAAAAAAAGCAUCUCUAUUUAGAAACCUUUAUGUAUAUGAAUAUAAUGAGUAGAUGAGAUGAAACCUUUUGGUUAGAGUUGUGAUUGAUUUGGAUUAAAAUUAAGUAUGUACCGAAAGGAAUCCAAGUUAAGCAACUUUGGAAUGCUUUGAUGCUACUUAUAGUUGGAGAAGACAAUGAAAGGCUUCGUUGGGGUCUUUUCCUUUUCUUUUCACUUAUUUUUAACCAAUUUUGGUGCUUUGCUUUCUUUUCAUCAAUUAUGUCUCACUUUAAAUGUAUAUAAAUAGUUAAUAAAAAUGUAUUUAGAAAAAUAAUAUUAAAAAUUUAAAUCUCAUUAUUUUAAAAAAAUUUAAAAAAAGUGCCCCAUUUUUUUUACAUAUAAUCGGGGGUGGGGAUGAAAUUGUUUGGGAUUAAAGUCAAGUUCUCGUGCCUCACAACUUAAUGCUCUUGCCACUAAGUUAAAAUAUUAUUAACAAAAAGUAUCUCGAUUUUAAGUUAUCAUCGAUUUAUUCACAUUUUAUAUCGAUGAAACUUAUUUUCUAUGGGUUGAAUAAAUCUAAUUUAAAAUAUUAGUUAAUAUAUAUAUAUAUAUAUAUAUAUAUAUAUAUAUAUAUAUAUAUAGUUAGUAGUUAGGUUAGUUNNNNNNNNNNNNNNNNNNNNNNNNNNNNNNNNNNNNNNNNNNNNNNNNNNNNNNNNNNNNNNNNNNNNNNNNNNNNNNNNNNNNNNNNNNNNNNNNNNNNAAUAUAAAUAUCUUUUUAAAUAUAAAAUAUAUAUAAACUUAAAUAAAUUUGGAUUAACGAAUUAAAACUCAUAUUUUGAAUUGAGAUAAAUUUAAAUAAAUACAUAUAAUAUUAUAUAUUAUAUAUUGAUACAACUCAAUCCAAAUCACUGUUACUAAGUUCUUUAUUAGAAUAAAAAUUCUUAAAAUUUUCUAAUUAUUGAAGUAUCAUUAAUUGCCAAUAUCUUGGGGCAAGUAAUAAGGGCCCAAUUUCUCAAUACCACAUAAUAAUACCAAUAAUAAGACCUCUUAAUUAUGUAAGAAAGCCUAGAAAUAAGUAAAUCCAAUGGGCCAGCCCAGAAUAAAAUCCCAUUGAAUAAUAGCUAAGCUUUUUAGGGUAUGGGUGUGGUGAAGUUGUGAUAUGGACCAUUAGACUUGUAUAUGAGUCAGGCUACCCACUUGAAAAGUGGGAGGGUUUGAGUAAAAAUAUGAAUUUGAAAUUGAGCUUGGGCAAAAAAUAAGGCUCAUUUAAAAAAUGGGCUAGGCCUCGGGUGAGGGUUUUUUUUUGCCUAGGCUCGGGCCGGCUCAAAUAUGCAAAAAAAAAAAGUGUUGCUUUUUACUGUUAUCUUGCUAUUUUCUUGUUGUUUUUUCCACUAUUUUGCUACCAUUUCACUAUUUUGUUGCUAUUAUUUUGUUGUUAUUGUAUAACUCUUCUUUUAUUGUUAAUUUUGUUACUAUUUUAGAGGCAUUUGCUUGUUAAAUUGCACCUAUGUUAGUGUUAUUUAAGUAUAAAUAGUUUUUUUAAUUUAUUUUCAAUUUGUUAGGAAACAUUUAUUUUAAUAUUUUUAGUAUUUUUAUAUAUUAUAUUUUUUAUAAAAAAAUUAAUACAAUUAGGCCGGGCCCGAGUUUUAGCAUUUUUAUCCGGGUUAGACUUGGACAAAAUUUUAGGCCAAUUUUUCAAGUCGAUCGAACUUGGGCCUAGCAAACAGGCCUAAAAUUUUAGUUGAAACCAACCCGAACUCGAUCCAGCCCGACCCAUAGACACCUCUAUGAACCAUUAAUAGUGGGACAUGUCAUUAGUUAAAACAAUUUAGAAUCACUAUGAUAAAUUAUGCAAAAACAUGUUAAAAAAAUAAUCUAAAUUAAAUCAUAAUGAUAAACUACACGAAAUAUAAUACUAAUCAGAACAUAGCACAAAAAUAAUAUUAAAAAUUAUUAUAUUUUAUCCAAAGAAAUAUCAUUUCACAAAAUUCUUAAACAUAUGCUUCCAAAUUAUGUUAUUCACUCAAUUGUUUCAUUUUGAGCAUAAUAUUUGUAUUAGUUAUAUUGGUAUAAGACAUCUUGUUAAGUAUGACUCCUAUUUCAAUCAAAUUUGAGAAAUAAUUUUCCAGUUAAACUCUGUUUAUUUGUUUCAAUCAAACUCUGAUUAGUCUAGAUUAUUUUUUUUAAUAUUUGACCUAUUAAUUUAGCCUAUAAAUAGACUCUUUUACAACCUUAGAAAAUACAUACAUUUGAGAUUAGGACUCAUAACACUUUUAGAGAAUUUUGUGUUUACGUUUUGAGGGUUCUUUUUUGUCGAGUUUUCGGGAUUUAAUUUUUAUCUACAUCCUUUGUGCUCUUCAUUUUUUUUCCAUUAUAGUAAAAUUAUAUUUGCCCGUGGUUUUUUUAUCCUCUUUGGAGGGAUUUUUCCACGUUAAAUUUGUGUGUUCAAUUUCUCAAUUUCUUCCGUUAUUUUUUAUUAGUUCAUUGCUUAAUUGGGUCAAUCCCCAACAAGUGUUAUCAGAGCUCGUUCAAUUUUCGUAGAUCAGCCCAUUCAGAUAUGACAGUAACAAGGUUUGAAAUUGAGAAGUUCGAUGGUGUCACAAAUUUCAAUCUGUUGCAAGUUCGAAUGAUGACAAUUCUAGUUCAAACUGGCCUGAAAAAUGUUGUCACCGGGAAAAAGCCUGAGAAUCUAAAUCAAAUAGAAUGGGAAGAGCUUGAUGAAAAGGCAUUGUCUGUAAUCCAAUUGUGCCUCGCGAAUAUGGUAUUGCAGGAGGUAUUAAUGGAGAAGACCUCAUCCACCUUGUGGAAAAGGUUAAAAACUCUUUAUGCGACUAAGUCUCUGGCUAACCAUUUAGUGUUGAAACAACGUCUAUUUACGUUUCGCAUGAACGAAAGUAAGCUUCUUAGAGAUCACAUCAGUCAAUUCAUUACUCUUUUAAAUUAUUUAAAGAACGUUGAGGUUCAAAUUGACGAUGAAGAUCAGACUAUGUUACUAUUGUGCUCUUUACCCCUUUUAAUACAAGUCUUUCAAGGAGACCCUGAUUUAUGGUAGAGACAAACUCUUAUUCGAAUAUGUGAAGGGUCAUUUGUUGAGUAAAGACAAACUCGACAAUGAGUUUGGUUCGGAUAGCAAGGCAGAUAGGUAAGCUUUCGUUUUGGUAGAAUCAAAGAAGCGAGACAAAAUGUGUCGCUAUUGUAAAAAGUUAGGUCACGUCAAAGCAGAUUGUUAUAAACUGUGAAAUAAAAUAGCUGCUGAGAGUAACGAGGAAGAUAUAGUUAAUGCUAAUUUGGCCAAUGAAAGCGGUGAUGAUUUCUUAUUAGUGUCAACGAGCGAUAACUCCAAGCUUACGUCCGAGUGGAUCCUAGAUUCGAGGUCUUCUUUCCACAUGUGCCCCAAUAGAGAAUGGUUCUCAAUAUACAGUUCGGUUGAAGGUGGAGUUGUGCGCAUGAGAAAUGAUUCAUCUAGUAAGGUAAUUGGUAUUGGUACGGUUCAAAUUAGGAUGCACAAUGGGACGAUUAGAACACUCUCAUAUGUCAAGUAUGUACCUGAUUUACGAAAGAAUCUCAUCUCAUUGAGUAUUUUAGGCUCGCAAGGAUGUAGAAUCAACAUCGAGUUGAGUGGCAUUAAGGUAUCUCUUGGAGCUCUCGUUUUGUUAAAAGGUAAAAAGACCAGCAGUCAUUAUAUUCUGAAAGGUUCUACAGUGACUGGUGAAAUCGGACAUCCAUCAUCCAUUACGGGGUCGAAGUCAACUUGUUUGAAGCGGAGACAACUUGGUCAUAGGAGAGAAAAAGGUAUAAUCGUUUUGUUGAAGAGAGUUUCUCAUUUGGAUGUAGGUUUUGAAAAGUUAGGACACUGUUUUCAUGAAAAUCAGACCCGAAUUAGUUUUGAUUUGGUAAUAUACAAGUCGAAAGCUAGAAUUCUUCUAGUUUCUAAGCACAAAUUCGACUCAAUUAAUUCUCUGCAUAGUUCAAGAUAGGCCCGUGGCAGGCUUUGGCAAAGAUGGCGUUGUGGAAAUAUGAGUCAAGGUGGAGAUUUGUUAAGUAUGACUCCUAUUUCAGUCAAAUUUGAGAAAUAAUCUUCCAAUUAAACUCUGUUUAUUUGUUUCAAUCAAACUCUGGUUAGUCUAGAUUAUUUUAUUAUUAUUUGACCUAUGAAUUUAUCAUAUAAAUAGACUCUUUUACAACCUUAGAAAAUACACCUAUUAGAGAUUAAAACUCAUAACACUUUUAGAGAAUUUUGUGUUUACGUUUUGAGGGUUCUUUAUUUUCGGGGUUUAGUUUUUAUCUCCAUCUUUUGUACUCUUCGUUCUUUUUCCAUUAUAGUAAAAUUAUCUUUGCCCGUGGUUUUUUUAUUCUUUGGAUGAGUUUUUCCAUAUUAAAUUUGUGUGUUCAAUUUCUCAAUUUCUUCUGCUAUUUUUUACUUGUUCGUUGCUUAAUUGGGUCGAUCCCCAACACAUCUGUAAUAAUUCAAUAUUUAAGAAAAUGAAUUUAAAAUUAAAAUCGAAUCUUAUGAAAAAUUAUACAAAAUAUAAGAUGUAUUGAACGCAACAUGGUAAAAAUAAUUUGUACAUGACGUAACAGAAAAAAAAAAUAUAUAUGAAUAUAUAUAAACGUAUUAAAAUUUAUAUAAAACAAAUUAUUAAUUUUAAAAUUUUGUAAAUUUAUAAUACUCUAAACAAGCAAAAAAAAUUAUCACAAAUAUCACGUCAUAAACAAUAUUUAAAUUGAAUAACUAAAAUAAAUUAUGAUGAAUACGUAAUAAAUUUCAACACAACAAUGCACGAAAAAAAUUACAUAAAAUAAAUUAAGAUUAUACACGAAAAAAAUAUAGAAAAUAAUUAAAUACACAAGAAAACUAAUAUUAAUAUAAUAUGAAUAUAUAAAUGAUGCAUGGUAAACUAAAAAUGCACCUAUCAAUUAAUAGUAUAGCUACGGUGAGUAAAAAUAUCGUUUCCGUUAAGACUAAAAGUAUUAGUAAUUAUUGUUUUUCUAUUAUUUAACCGAUAAAUUCGAGUGAUUGAUUAAAAUUAAAACUAACUAAAUUAAUUAACUACGAAUGGGACAAAGAACAAAAUAUGAAAAUAAUCGAGUAAAAACUAAAAAGUGAAACAAUACCCAAGAAAGAAUUCAAAUAGAUUUCAUUUAUCACUGCCAAUUUAAAUUACGCAAUUUCUUUAUUUAGUAACUUGAUCCGUAAAAAUCCCUAAAUUAUGCUAAUAUCUAGAGGUGCUCAUGCCCGGCCCGGCCCGACGGCCCGCUCGAAAUAUGGGAGGGUUCAGGUAAAAAUAUAGGCCCGAAAUAUGUGUUUGGGUAAAAAAACGAGGCCAUUUAGAAAACAGGCCGGGCCUCAGGCACCACUUUUUUGGCCCGGGCCUGGCCCGAAUAUAUAAUAAAUAUAUUUUUUAUUUUUAAAAUAUUUUUCAAACACUUUUUUUAUUUUUAAAAUAAAUUUUUGGUGUUUAUUAAAAAAUGGGCUAGGCCGGGCUCGGGCAUAGGAAUUUUUUCUCGGGCCGAGCCUGGACAAAAUUUUAGGCCCAUAUUUCGGGCUGGACCGGGCCCAGGCCUAGGACGCGGGCCGAAAAUUUUUUUGGGCCCGGCCCAACGCAUGAGCACCUUUACUAAUAUCUCUUUCGAGAGUAAGAGCAACUGACUCUAGGUUGAUUAAUUAAAACUUCUUUCUUAUUAAAACCCUUAUUAUCGCAUUAACUCGAGCUAUGGAUUAGGGGUGAGCAUUCGAUCGAAUCGAAUCGAAUCGAAAAUUUUCGAGUUAAUCGAGUUUCCGAAUCUCAUUUUAUCAUCCUAACUUUAUUUGAAGUUUUCUCGAAUCGAGCCGAGUGAGAUGAAAUUCGAAUCGAAUCGAAUCGAAUCGAAUAUAUUUGUUCGAGUUAAAUUUUAAAAAAUAAUUUUAGGUCCUUGUAACCAUUGUCACCCAUCAUAAUAAAAUUUGUCCACCUUAAUCAAAUUUUUUAUUAACUUUCAUCACUUCAUAAUUUAUUUAUUAAUUUUUUAUAUACUGGUUAGCUUCUUUACUUGCUUAGUUGUUUCAAUUAUCUUCAGAUUCUUGUCACUAUGUAUUUUAGAAUUAAAAAAUAUAUUAAAUGUAAAAAUAUGAUUUUUUAAUAAAAGUUAUUUUAAAAAUAAAAUGUGAAAUUGAUACCAAUAUAAAAUUUUAACACGAAUAUUUUAUGGCAUAAUUAAGAAUCCAAUUUUAAUAUAAAUAUUCAAUAUGACUAAACAAUUCAAUAAUAGAAAUAAUAUAAAAUAUGAAAUUUAAUUUAAUAAUAUAAAUAGUAGAUAUAACUAAAAUUAUUACUAUUUAUGUUUAGUGAUUUUUUUGGAUAAUUUUGAUUUUUUAUUUGAGAGUAAAGGGUGAGAAGUAAAAGUUUGGGAGAAAAAUAAAAAGUUUUGGGGAAUAAAAGUUUGAGGGAAAGUAAAUCCUAACCCUUCACAAACCGAUCCAAAAUAUUAAAAANNNNNNNNNNNNNNNNNNNNNNNNNNNNNNNNNNNNNNNNNNNNNNNNNNNNNNNNNNNNNNNNNNNNNNNNNNNNNNNNNNNNNNNNNNNNNNNNNNNNGGGAGGGUUUGGGAUAGAUGGGAGGUGGGAUGGGAAGAGAAUAAAAGUUUUAGGGGAAAAGUGGGAGGGAGUAAAAAUUUUGGGGGAAAACAAAAGGUUUUGAGGGUUUUUGGGAGUAAAAUUUUGAGAAAAAAUAAAUAGGAGAGUAAAAUUUUGGUGGGAAAUGGAUUUUGGGUAUAUUGGGGGUUUGGGAGGGGAGGGGAGUAAAAGUUUUGGGGGAAAAGUGGGAAGGAGUAAAAGUUUUGAGGGAAAAGUAAAAAGGUUUGGGAGUUUGGGGUAAAAUAUAAAAUAUUAUAGUUUGAUAUUCGAAUUAUUCGAAUUAUUCGAGUUAUUCGAAUUCGAAAACUCAACUCGAUUUGAACUCAAAAUUCAAAAAAAAAUUCGAGUUGAUUCGAAUAACUCGAUUCGUUUAACUAGAAAUUCGAAUUUUUUUUCGAUUUUUUCGAGUCGAAUCGAGUUUUGCUCACCCCUACUAUGGAUUCCUCUAUUAAAUUUGACUCUUAUCCAGUAGAUUUAUGUCAUCUUAUUUCUAGGAAUGCAUGCAACUCCACUCAAUUACGAAAGAUUUACUCUUAAAGAGGGUCUAUUUCUCCUCUAAGUUAAGCACACCAUACAUGGAUCAAUAAUCUAAAAAUAUUAAACCAAGAAUUAAGCACACAUAAUUGAUAACAAUAAUAGAAUAGUCAAAAUAAUACAUAAAUUAUAUAUAUUAUAUAUUAUAUUACAAGGUUUCAAGCUCACAGAUGACAUGAACAGUUUAUUUUAUUGCCACGCGAGUUGUUUAAUUUGAUGACACGUGAAUUUCUUCUUAUUAUUUAUUUAAAAUCUAUAGCUUUUUGUUGAAAAUAAAGAUGACAUAAAUUAAAUUUAAAUAUUAAUAAUUUCUAAUUUCUUAAAUAGAAUAAACAAAUUUCAAAUAAAGUUAAUAAAUAUUUAUAAUUAACAUUAGAUAGAAUAACCAUAUAAAUUUAAUAAAGCAAAAGAUUUUAUCCUUUUAUUAACAUGAUUAAUAUGAGAUAUAUCGAGUCUUAGUUCGAUUAGUAUUAGCAUUGUUGUCAAUACAAAAAUAUGUGAGUUCGAGUGUGUUUAUUCUUUUAUUUAAGAGUAGAGAGAUGUUAUGAAAAAUUCUAAACAUUUUAAUAAAAAAUAGAUCAACGGAUUUUAAUUAAUUUUUAGGAAAAAUUAUUCUCAUAUGGCGCAAACCAUCUUGAUACGAGAAAAAAUAAAUAUUGCAUUAGAUUAAUAACAUAAAAUAAACCAUUUCAAAUAAUUUUAAUAAAUUGAUAGAUUUAAAUUAAUAAUCAACAUGAUAGAUUAAUUGCAUUAGAUUAAUAAUUAACAUGAUAAUAAAUUGAUAGAUAAAUAUGUGGGUGUUUCCUCCACUUUCCCCACCCACGUUUUCCUUAAUUUCCUCAAACUCCAAACUCACUUCUCACCACCAUUACCCUUUGAUUAUAACUAGAAAUGAUAUGAACGCGUUUGUUGGCUUGAUGGUUAAGGUGUUUAUCACCGCAGGUGUAACCUAGAUUUGAGUCAUGCAUGUUACAUAGUUGUUAGGGCUUUACUCUCCUAUUAUAAUUCACAAAAAAAAAAAAACUAAAAAUGAUAUAUUUGUGCUGAUAGACUGAAGAUGGAUUAUGAUCAAUCUAAAUUAGUCAUAUAUAUUAAAUUCUAAUUUAAUAUUUCUUUUUUUUUUCUUUCAGAAAUCCAUUGAAGGAAUCUAAGUUUAUUACGAAAGAUGCAAAUUUGAUACAAGAAAUAUCCUAUAUUGAAUUGAGUCAAAUCAGUUGAAAAUAUUUUAAGUUAGUCGAGUUUUCAAGUCUUAUUUUAUUAUUCUAAUUCGAUUUAAUUUUUUUAAUUAGAACGAGUGAAAUGAAAUUAGAGUCGAUAAUGAAUAUAAACACCAUGUCUAAGUCCGACCCAACCGAUGUUCAACCGAAUGUGAAUCCUUGAACAGCUCUAUGGAAUAGUGAACCAUGAGUGCAAUGAUUCAAGGUUCUAUAGAUGAGCAUCAUUUUAACCAAUCAAACCUCAUAAGCAAAAAACAUAUAUAAUAUUUUCCGUCUUGAUUUGAAUGCAAUAUAAAAUUUGGUUUUAACUGUCAUUUGCUUCGCAUAUCAUCCCUACCCGAAUACGAAUAAAUAUUUUAAUAUAUUGAUAGCAAACUAAUUUUAUGUGUUUAAUGUACUUAAUUUUUGUCAAUUUUUGAACAGAAUACUACUAAGCUUGUGAUUUCUCACUUAAAUUUUAUCAGGGACGCAAUUAGAGUGUCGAAAUUCAAAAAUAAGCAAAAUCAGGCUAAAUUGAAACAAAAAACAAGUUGUGGGGCUGAAUUGAAAAUUAAAAAUUUAUUUUUGGGAUGAUAAAAAAAUUUAUCAAAAUUUUGGCUUUGGAAAAUUCUAUAUUUAGAAAACUUAGGUUGUUAAGCAUGAAUCUAGGGGUAAAUUAUGUGAAAUUGGAUUUUUGAAAGGUGUAUAUAAAGGCUUGUAAUUGUGGUGUGAGAACACACACUUGAAUUGAAAAGGAAAUUUAGCGCAUUUUUUACGUCUAUUGCUUUUGAAGCAUUCUACCAUUUCUUUCCCCUUUUUAUACUUUGGUGUAAUUUCCUUUUAGUCCUCUCCCCUUCUUCACCUAUUAACAUUCAUUAAAAUCCACUCUUAUAAUCCAAUCAAGUAUGAUUAGUUUUAUGCUUAACUAACCUCCAUUUAUCUUUAGGCUGGUUAUCAUUCCGAUCGAGAAUCGUGAGAAAUGAACUCAUACUAACAACCUUACAACACUAUGUUUAUUAUCUCUUGGAAUUUGGGAUAGUCACAAUCAUCCCUUAAAGUUAAUUCAAUUUCAAUUCAAAAAGCAUGUGUUGGGUUGGAGUUGUUUAGCGUAAAGUUGGGAAAAAGAGUCGGUUGUUUGCUUUAUUCAGAUUCCCGCGAACAAAUUGGCGUGUCUAGGUGGGAAAAGGCUAGUUGGAUUUCGUCAAGGGAGAUAAUGAUUAGAUUUCAAUGACCCACGCGGUAAAGGUCGUUAAUUCGAGUUGGGCCAUUCUAGAUUGCAAGGUUGCCGAGAUCUUAAAUUACGAAAGCGUGUUACACAGUUACAUAGUUGGUAAGGGUUGGUUUGCAGGUCGUACAGAAAUCAACUAUACAAGAAAGAGUUACUGGUUGAGGCGUCAUUGAUCUCUAUAACCAGUUUAUCGUUUGGCACAAGGAAAAUUCACUUUCAAUGAUCAACUCGAGUUUGGAAUAUUCUGAGUCUAAGGCUAAGAAUUCGCAUAUUUGAUUUCCUAAUUUAAUUUCAAUUAUUUAAUUUUAUUUUUCAAUUAUAAUUCAAUUAUUAUUUUGUUCUAUUCAUUUAAAUAUUUUUAACUUUAAUCAACUAAAACCCCUUUUGAUUUAUUUUUAGCUUAGCACGUUACAAGUCUUAGGCAUGACAUUUGUCCUAACUUUGGAAUCUGGUCAUGCUACAAAUGAUAUUAGAAAUCUCAAUUCCUAUGGGAUUGACCUUGCUUCUCUGUACUUCUGUUUAGUUCAGUUAGAGUGUAGGAAAUUUUUAUUUGGUGGUCUUGAUAACCAUCAAAAUUUGGCACCGUCAUUGAGGGCUUGAAAAAUAAUUAUAAUAUUUGUUUCUUUUACUAAUGAUAAGGUCAGAAUCAGAGACCUUAGAGUUUGAAUCAAAAAUUGAGAAGUUAGUUCAAUCACUACAAAUAAAAGCUAUUCGACACGGAAAACAAUCGCAAGUGAAAGAAUCUGAAUACGAAACACUAUCUUACAUGGAAAAAAUUAAUGAUACUCUCAAUGAACUAAAAGAGAUGGCGAACCAAACCAUUCGACAACUCACUAUGGCACUAGAUGAGCAACAACUGCUGUGCAAAACUUAUCUAGCGGGAGAAAUACCAUUUGAGUUAAAGUUGGGCUUAAUUCAUCUAUUCCCCACUUUCUGCAGUUUGGAAAACGAGAAUCACCCAACUCAUCUUAAGUAAUUCAACAUGGUUUGCUUAAGCAUGAAGCCUCAAGGAGUAACCGAAGAUCAAAUUAAAGUUUGAACUUUUCUUUUUUCGUUAGCUAACUUUGCUAGAGAGUGACUAUUUUAUUUACCUUCAAGAUCAAUUAAUACAUGGUCUGACAUGUCUCGCUUGUUUCUUGACAGGUUCUUUCUAGUAGCUUGGGCAAUUAAAUUAAGGUGAGAUAUUGUCAGAAUACGACAAAAGGAGAUCGAAUCACUCUAUGACUAUUAGGAAUAGUAUAAGAAGUUAAGUGUAAGCUGUCGACAACAUUGCCUAACUAAAUAAUCAUUUCUUCUAUAUUUCUAUAAGGGGUUACUCCCUAUGGAAAUGAAGAUGAUUGAUGUUACCAAUGGAGAGGCACUUGUUAACAUGACUCCUCAAUGAGCAAGAAAAUUGAUUUCAACCAUGGCUGCGAAUUCCCAACAAUUCCGACUAACUAUAGAACCUACAAGAUGGGUUUCUGGGCUAAGUACUCCAUCAUUAGAAGAUAAAAUUGAUAGGCUCACUAAUAUAGCUCAAAAUUUACUUACAAGAAAAACAAACUCAACUCGGUUGUGCAAGAUUUGCACCAUGCCUGAUCAUCCAACAAACUCGUGUUCAAUUUUACACAAAUAUACAACACAAGCAGAUGCCAUUGGGAACUUCUUAGGGCCACCCCAAAGGUGCUAUGAUCCACAUUCAGAUACUUACAAUGUGGGGUGGAGGGAUCACCCAAAUCUGAGUUAUGGAUUGAAUCCUCGAUACAACCAACCAUAUCAGCCAAGGCCACCUCCUGCUCAACAAUUUCAACCCCUAAAGUCAUAUCUUGAUGCCAUAGCAAAAAGAUUAGUUGUUAGUACUAAAAAGUUCCAAUAGAAGAUUGAAACGCACCUACAAUACCAAGAUAAGAAAAUAAGUUUGCGUUUAUGGUUAGUUAUUUGGAAUCUUAAGGAAAGUGGCUCUAUCAAACAGAGCCAAAUCCACAACAAAAUGCAAGCGCUAUAACCUUAAGAAAUAGAAUGGUUUUAGAGCCAGUACUUGGCAUGAGUCUUGAUCAUGAGACCAAAUGUAAAGUAUAGAAACUUGAUCCCAUGGUUACUACGAAGUUAGCACCAUAGAAACCGUUCGUGGUACCACCCACAUUCCUUAGAAGGCUCACCAAAUUUAAAAAGGAGUGAGAAGAGACAAAAAUCCUAGAGACGUUCCAAAAAGUUGAAAUUAACAUACCCCUGCUCGAUGCGAUAAAUUAAGUUCCACGCUAUGCAAAAUUCUUAAAAGAAUUAUGGACUGGCAAGAAGCACUUGGUAACAAAUGAGUAAGUGUAGGAGAAAACAUCGUCACAAUUUUACAAAAGAAAAUUUCGCCUAAGUGUAAGGACUAAGAUAUGUUCGAUAUAUAUUGAAAAAUAGGUAAUAUUGGCAUUAAAAAGGCCAUGUGUGAUUUAGGUGCAUCUAUUAACGUUACACCUCUAUCUAUUUAUAAAUUACUAAACACAAGUCCUUUGAAAGAAAUAAGGGUGAUCGUUCAAUUAGUGGAUAGGUCGGUUAUGUAUCCGGAAGGGAUGUUGGAAGAUGUCCUCGUCAAAGUAAAUGGACUAAUCUUUCUUGCAAAUUUUUAUAUCAUUGACAUGGAGGAUGAAAACUCAAAAAAUUCUUUCGAUAUUCUAUUUAGGAGACCAUUUUUAAGCACCGUGUGAACAAAAAUUGAUGUCCAGAGUGGAACACUAACUAUAGAAUUUGAAGAUGAAGUGGUCAAGUUCAAUGUAUAUGAGGCCAUGGGCCGCCCCAGUGUAAUGGUAAAUGUCUCUAGUGUCGAUAUAAUUGAAUCAUUGACAAAAUUACAUUUUGAAUAUCACGAAGAGGAUGAAUUACAAACUGUACUUUACAGGAGUUUAAAUCUUAAUUUGAGACAAUAACUGGGUUAGCCCAGUUCAUGUAGUGCCUAAGAAAACUAGCAUGAUUGUAAUUAAAAACCCAGCAGUUGAAUUGCUUCCCACUUGAGUCCAAAAUGGGUGGAGAGUCUGCCUAGACUAUAGGAAGUUGAAUGAUUUAACUCAAAAAGACCACUUUCCACUUAUUGCUAUCUUGAUGGCUAUUCAAGUUUCUUCUAUAUUCCAUUGGCACCGGAGGACCAAUAAAAGACGAUAUUCUUAUGUCUUUUUGGCACAUUCGACUAUAGACGGAUUCCAUUUGGACUCUAUAAUGUGCCCCACAUUCUAAAGGUGCAUGGUAAGCAUAUUUUCUGACUAUGUCGAGAAAAUAAUUAAGGUAUUUAUGGAUGACUUCACGGUUUAUGAUAAUUCUUUCAGUGAAUGUUUUUCAAACCUCACUAAGAUUUUAGAAAGAUGUAUAGAAUUUAAUCUCAUUCUGAACUAUAAAAAAUUUCAUUUUAUGGUUGACAAGGAUUAAUUUUAGGGCAUGUUGUCUCCGCUGAAUGGAUUGCAACCGAUAAGGCCAAAACUGAUGUUAGUAAUUCACAUACCUUAUGACUAUGAGGGCAAUCUGUUCUUUUUUUGGCCAUGCAAGUUUCCACAGGCGUUUUAUAAAGGAUUUUUUGAAGAUUUCACAACCACUCUGUAAUCUCUUGUAAAAAACAAAGGGUUCAAAUUCAAUCAAGCGUGCAAAGACGCAUUCGAUACAUUGAAGCAUAAGCUUGUUUCAGCUCCCAUAGUAUAACCACUGAAUUGGGAUUAUCCCUUCGAAUUAUGUGUAAUGCAAGUGAUCAUAGUGUAGGAUCCGUUCUUGGGCAAAGAAUCGAGAAGGAACCCCAUGUUAUCUCUUACGCCCCAAAAACCUUAGAUGCUGCCCAAAGCAACUAUUCGACCACUGAAAAAGAAUUAUUAGCUAUUGUUUUUGCUUUGGAAAAAAUUAGAUCAUACUUGUUAGGAACUAAAAUCAUUGUUUUCUCUAACCAUGUAGCUGUAAAAUAUUUGAUCGAAAAAAAGGAGGAGAAACUGAGGUUAAUUAGAUGGAUUUUACUUUUACAAGAGUUUAACCUCAAUAUUAAAAAUAAGAAACGAUGUGAGAGCUCAGUAGCAGACCAAUUAAGUCAAUUACUGCUCUCAAAAGAUGGUACACCAUUAAAGAAUGAUUUCUCGAACGAGAAUCUGCUUUCAGCACAAGUAGUUUACCCAUGGUACGUGGAUAUGGUAAACGGUAUUAUCUCUUCUAACUUACCACACUCUAAAAAGGACAAAAUCAAACGAGAUUCAUGGUACUAUAUUUGGGAGGACCCCUACCUAUGGAAACACUAUUCUGAUCAGGUAAUCUAACGAAAUGUCUCAAAAAUCGAGGUUUAAUCUAUUAUGGCCUUUUGUCAUUCUUAUGCUUGUGGAGGGCAUUUCUACCCCAAACGUACUGUACAUAAGGUACUUAAGUGUGGAUUAUUUUGGCCACACAUUUUUCAUGAUGCUUACUUAUUUUAUAAGACUUGCGUAAGAUUUCAAAAGGUGGGUAAUUUCAGGCAUGAGAACACACACUUGAAUUGAAAAGACAAUUUAGUACAUUCUUGCGUCUAUUGCAUUUAAAGAAUUUUGCCAUUUAUUUCCUCUUUUUGUACUUUGGUAUAAUUUCCCUUUUAGUCCUCUCCCUUCUUCACCUAUUAACCUUUAUUAGAAUCCACUCUUAUAAUCCAAUCAAGUAUGAUUAAUUUCAUGCUCAACUAAUCUCUAUUUAGCUUAAGGUCGGUUGAUGCGAGUCUCAAGGUCCAUUUAACUUACACUACCUCAAGGCCCAACAAAAAGAUCAAAGGUCAAUCAAAUCAAACCAAGAUUUGGUCAAAGAAAAUUUGUGAGGAUGAAUCUUUUUGAGGAAAUAAUGAAUGAUACAUGCACGACAAGGGGGAAAUUUAUUAAAUUUCAUUCAUCGAAGCUACCAGUUUUUAAGUUUGGGGAAUCAGUAGACUUGCAAUGACUUUUCAGAUAGGAUCCAAGCAUUGCUUAGUUUAGAUGUCAUCAUGGCAUUAGAAGAUCUAUCUCUUAGCUUCAAAAUGCACUUUGAAUCACUUAAUUUUGAGUUCGGGAGCUCAAGUUAUGAUCGUUCUAGUAAUGAUUGCGUGAGCAGAUUUUUUACGAGAUUAUUAAGGAAAUUACGAGUUUCAGGCUUUUAGUUUAAGUUUAAAUCAUAUUGGGUUCGAGUUUUAGGCUUAAUUUUUAUUAUAUAUGAGUCUAAUAUUAUAUUUAUCAGCUCUUAUUAUUUUAUUAUUACGAUUUUUUAUAAUUAUUAAGUAUUUUAAGUUAUUUAGGAGUUUUAUGUCAAAAAGAAAGUUUGUUUAAGACUACUUCUUGUUUAGAUUAAUUAGAGUUUUAGUAUACUUUAGAGUUUUAUUUAUAUGUACUUAGCUAGUCUAUAUAAAGGCUUCUUCAUUAUUCAUUAGAGAGACGAUUGUUUUCAUGAAUAAAGUUUUCAAUUUUGAGAGUUUGUUUCAUUAGGGGCUUUAAUACCAAAUAAUAGGGAAUUCGAGUCAAGGAAGCCGAUCAAUGAUUGUAUUCAAGUCGUUUAACUCGAGAAACAAAUAUUUGGAUGUGACUUGAAAUAAGAAAUAAACAAAUUUAGAAAUUAACGAAAACAUUAAAAAAAGACAUUAAAGAACUAAGAAUAAAUAGUCAAAAUAAUAAAUAAAUAAAUAGACAAAAUUUAAAAGUGGAAGAUGGAACGAGUAAACCAAUCAAUAUGAUGGAUAGAAGGAUAAGUAUCUAAUUGAACCUUUUGAAAUAUAAAUCCAAACAAACUAAAUUAAUGACUCUAAUCAUCCCUCCAAGAAAUAAUUCUUGGCAAAUUGAAGGGUGAAUAAUGAAUUCGCAUGACUGUUUGAAGAAAAUCGAGAAGAAAAUCACUUUUAAAAAUCACAAGAAAGAAAUCUUGCACAAAGAAACAAACUCCCAGAGUUGAAAAUUUUAUUAAUCAAAACAAUCCUUUCUAUAAUGAACAAUGAAGAAGCUUUUAUAUAGGCUAGCUAACUACAUUCAAAUAAAACUCUAAAGUAUACUAAAACUCUAAUUAAUCUAAACAAGAAGUAAUUUAAACUAAACUUCCUUGUUUAUCUAAGAAACAAAAACUCCUAAACAACUUAAAAUACCUAAAUAAUAUCCAAAUUCGGAAUAAAUAAAUAAUAAAAUAAUAAAAACCUAAUAAAUACAACAUUGAGCUCAUAUAUUAUAAAAAUUAAGGCUAAAAAUCAAAUCUAAUAUGAUUUAAACUUGAUUUAAAAGCCCAAAACUCGUAAUUCCCAUCAUAAUCUCGUCUAGAAAUUCUACCCAUGUAUUCUUCACUAAAAUAGUCAUAACUUCAGCUUCUGAACUCAAAAUCGAGCAAUUUAAAGUUUGUUUCGAAGUUAAGAGAUAGAUCUUCAAACUCCAUGAAGACAUCUUAACCAAGAAAUGUCUGGAUUCCAUCCAAAGAGUCGUUGCAAGUCUGUUGAUUCCCCAAACUUGAAAACGAGUAGCUUCAAUGAAUGGAAUUUAAUAAAUUUCACCAUUUUCGUGCAUGCAUCAUUCCUCAUUUCCUCGAAAAGGUUCAUCAUCACAAACUGCCUUUGAUCAAAUCUUGGUUUGAUUUGCUUGACCUUUUAUCUUGUUUUUGGGCUUUGAGGUAGUGUAAGCCCAUCACAACCAUGAGUCUGAUAUUGGGCCUUAAGACUCGCAUCACCGGUUACCAUUCCGAUCGAGAAUCGUGAAAAAUGAACCCGCACUAAAAACCUUACAACAUGAUAUUUAUUAUAUCUCCAGAAUAUGGGGUAGUCACAAUCGUAUGUUAAAGUUAAUUCAAUUUAAAUUCAAAAAGUACGCAUUGGGUUGGAGUUGUUUGGUGUACAAUUGGGAAAAAGAGUCUGUCGUCUACCGCAUUCAGAUUCAUACGAACAAAUUGGAGUGUCCAGGUGGGAAAAGGUCAGUUGGAUUCCACCAAAGGAGAUAACGAUCAGACUUAAACGACUCACGCGGUUGAGGUCGUUAAUUUGAGUUGGGCUCUUUUAGAUCGCAAGGCUGUCAAGAUCAUAAAUUGCGGAUGCGUGUUACGCGGUUAAAUAGUCAAUAAUGUUAGGAAAUGUGCACAUAUUUUAGUAAACAUGUAACAGUUUUCUAUCUAUUUGAAAGAUGAAUAAAUAAAUAAAGUUAAUUUCACAUUUCACUAUUAUAUCUUUUGUCUUUACUGUUUUUUAUAGUUUGGAUGCAUAGCGAAAUUGUGAUAAGCAAAUAUUAGCUCAUUUCUUGUCUAAAGUUCAAACUGAAGAUCAAUGGCAUUAUAAGAACAUUUACAUUGUGAGAAAGACAACUUAUUUUAGUAGAUAAUCUAAAUGAGUUUGUAAUCUCGUAAAAGAAUCAAAGCGAGCAUUUGAUUCAAAUACUGAGAAGGAUUACCAUGUCGUCUACAAUUCCAAUUGGGGAGAUGACUAGUAUUGGCUAUUGGAGCAGUUGACUCCACGAGUAGAGAUAUAGAUGUAUUCAUUGGUAGAAUGAUACAUUGGACUAGACCUAACAUGAAUUAAUUCUAAAUCUGUUUGUGGAUUAAUUUGCUUGUGACAUUCAUGGUGUGAUUUACCUAAAUCCUGAGUUAGUCACUGAUCAUGCGUAUGCAACUCAUGUGCUUUGAUAUAAGUGGAGGCUUAUGCUCUAAAGAUGUGCGAGCCUAUAGCCGGUAUGUUGGGUACAUGAUUUGUGUAUGGCAUGGCUUUAAUAGCAAUAAUGGAAUUCAUAGCUCAAUUAAAAGUUAAUGAUAUCCUAUCAUUGGCAUUGUGUGGAUUGAUAAAUAUGGAACGUGGCCACAGGUUGUUUGUUCUUGAACGAGCAAUUUAUAUCAAUCAUUUGUUGAACGUGAUCAUAUUAAUCAUUAAGAAGAUACCAUGGUGACAAUGAGAUAAAAUAGGAUUGUAUUGAAUGAAUACAUUUAACUCAAAGGAAUCAAGGAUAUCAUAUUAGGGUAACACACAUAUGACAAGGUCAUUGGAUAAAGUAGUUGGAUGAAUUGCUUACGUAAAGAGUAUACAAUAAGGAGUUUUUAAUCAUGAUACUUCUUGUGGAUUGACUCCAUGAUUAAGUAAUUGCGAAUUAUUGGAACAAUGCUUCUGGACAUAAGUGCAAUCACUAUAGCCUAAUUGUAUAUGUCCAAUUGGUUCCUCUACUAGCUCAACAAAAGUUCGAUCGAACUGCAUUUGAAUCAAAAGAAAAUUAUACAAUUUUUGAAAUAAUUUAAUUAAGUCAAUUUAUUCGAUGUGAAAUUAAAUUAGGUAGUCGUAAGAAUUAUUCAACUAAAGAAUUUGAUUAAAGAAUUUUCUUGAAAAAUUAAUUUGGAAACUCUAAGUGAUUUUUAGAAAAAUUAAUUUUGAUCAACUAAAAUUAAAUUAAUUAAAUUAAUCAAAUUAAUUAAAAUUAAUAUGAUAUUUUUAGAAAUUAAUUUUCAAGUCAAACAAUUGGCUCAAUGGGUAAUUGAACUUGAAGAUUGGAUUUGAGAUCGUAAGUUGGGCUCAGGAGCCCAAAAUCAAGACCAAACCCAAAAAUUGGCCAAACCGAGCCCGGUAUGUGAAAUCAGGCCGAUGGCUAGACCGGACCGGUCAGGUCAUCAUUGACUCGGACCGAACAAAUAACAGUCGAACUGGCUCGAGGUGCUGUAAAGGUGUUGCACCUGCAUUACCGGAUACGGCGAUGCCAACGGCUAAGGCGGCGGCAUCCUGGUGGUCGGUGAUGGUUGGUCUUCGGUGGUUGAGCAGUGAAAGAGUUACACUCCUACUGGGACUCUACCAAAGAAUUUGAUUUCAGAUUAACUAUUCUAAAAAAUAAUAUUAUUUUAAUAGGUUAAUAUUAAAUUUAAUUUAAUAUUGAUCUUAAUAUUAUUUUAUUAAUUUAAUAUUAAAGUGAUUAUUUUAAUAUUAAAUUAAAUUUAAUAUUUAUCUUGUAGAUAAACAUUUUAUUAUUUUAAUAAGAUUUAAUAUUAAAGUGAUUAAGUUUAAUCAUAGGAACUCUCUAAACUCUCCGUAUAUAAAGAGAGCAUUGAGUCAUUAUUUAAUACACACUUAAAUUCAAACGAAAGUUGUAGAAAGAAAAAUUCUCUAAAGAUAUUAUUUUAGAAAAUUUCUAGAGAUAUUUUUUAGUAAAAGUUUAGAGAAAUUGCAAAAUUACCCCACUGGUAAUUUUUGUGAAAAAUUUUCUGAUUCGAAGCAAGCUUACACUCGGCAGACGUGAGCUUUAGAAUAGUGGAGAAGACUACUCGGUCAAAGCGAUCAUCCUAGACUAAUCGAAAAGGUACAAUUUUGAUUAAGUGUUUAUUACUUUAGAUAUCACAACCAAUAUCUUGUUUUGGAAAAAAAAAUUAAAACUCUAGUUUUUUCCUAAAUUUAUUUUCCGCUACAUUUUCCAAACCCGUUUUUUCCAACAAGUAAGGGAUGGUUUGUGGGCCGUACCGGAAUCAACUUCACAAUGAAGAGUUGGCAGUUGAGGCAUCCUUGAUCACUAUAACCAACUUAUCGUUUGGAAAAGAAAAUUCACUUUUAAGGAUUGACUCAAGUCUAGAAUAUUCCGAGUCUACAACUAAGAAUUCGCAUAUUUGAUUUCCUAAUUUAAUUUUAGUUAUUUAAUUUUAUUUUGCAAUUACAAUUCAAUUAUUAUUUCAUUCUAUUCAUUUUUAUAAUUUUAACCUUAAUCAACUAAAACCCCCUUUGAUUUAUUUUCAGCUCAACAUGUUACAAGUUGUGAGCAUGACAGCUGCCACAACUUUGGAAUAUGGUCACGCUAAAAACAAUAUUAGAAAUCUUAGUUCGUGUGGGAUCGAUCCUGCUUCUCUAUACUACUGUUUAAUUAAGUUAGAGCGUAGGAAAUUUAUAUUUGGUCGUCUUAACAACCAUCAUAUAUAUAAUUAAAUAAUAUUAUAUAAUUAUGUUUAAACAUAUGUUUAGUUAAAUUAAAAUAUAUAUAUUUAUUCAAAAUAAAAAUUAUGAAAAAUAAAAAUCUUUAAAAUUCAAAAAAUAUAUAUAAAAGAAAUUCCAAAUUUCAAUGUUGUCUAAACUAGAUCGAAUCAACCAAUCGGACUGGGAAUCAACUGGGGUAUUCGUCCGAUGAGUGAUAAAAAAAUCGGUUGACUUGCGAACUAGUAUAGACUUGUUGAAUCAGAUUAAAAACUAGUUGAACUGACAAUUGAACAAAUUUAUAUAAUAUUUAAUUUUUAUUUUUAAUAAUUUAUUUACUUUGAAUUAGUUGGACCGUUCGAACCAAGAACCAAUUAGCCUAACCAGUUUAAUCAUGUUUAGGCCCAACCCAAUCUAGUCCACAAACAAGUUUACCAUGAAGCCACCUGGUAAAACUAUCCUCCCAUAUUUUGAAUGAGCUUUUGCGCUUGGGCAAGUACCAACCCUUAAAUAGUUCUACAGACCAAUGAACGACAAGUACAGUGAUUCAAGGUUUUAUAGUUAAGCAUCGGUUGAAUUGAUCAAACCUCAUCAUCAAUCUGGCCCAAUUUGAAUACAAAUAAAUAUUUUAGUAUAUUUAAUUAAUUACAAAUAUUUUUGAAGGAAUAUAAUACGUUAUAGAUAAUAUUAUCUAUAUCUAUAUAUUAUAUAUGAAAUCAACUCCUAAUAUAAUCUUUUAAGAGUUAAUAGGGGUAUUUUUGGUAGUAUAAAAAAUCUAUAGGGAUAAUUUAAUCAUUAGAACUUAAAAUGGGAAAUUUAGAUGUUUUACAAAAAAAAAUAAUUUAUUUAUAUGUAUCUAUCUAUAUCUAUAUAUAUAAUAUACAUAUAAGAAUAGUUUGUCCACAAAUUCUUUUAUUGUAUGUUUAAUUCAAUAAAUUGUAUUUCAAAUAUUUUUUUAAAUUCUUAGUUUAUUUUUUAUUUUACACUUUAAAAUUGUAUAUAAAUUAAUAUUUACAAUUAAAAUUAUCUUGAUUAAAUUAAUUAAUUGCAUAUUUAAAAUUAUUUUGCUAAAAGUUUAAUUCAAUUAAUUAUAUAUCCAUAUUACUUUAUAGUUUUAGUUAUUAAAAUUUAUAAUUUUUGUAAAGGUGACUUUAACUUUAAGUUACAAGGUUAUUAAAUUGAUUAAGUGUGAGUUUGAAUGGGCAGUGCGGUGCAUUUAGCUUACUUUUUAUCUCACAUUAUCUCACCGUCCAUUCAAAUUCACCCUAAAUGUCUUUUUAAAGGUAUUAUUAUUUUAGCUCUCAUUAGAGUUACAAUUUGUGUUUUAUAUAAAUAUCAAACUUUUCUUAAUUUCAGCGGUGAAGCUAGGGCCUAGUAGGGGUGUUGUCCUUUAAAUGAAAAAUUUUCUAUUUAGGCUCAUUUAUAAUCUAUAAAAUUUUAAAUUAGUAAUAAUAAAAUUAUAUUUUGGCCCCCUAAAAGUGAUAAAAAUUUGAUUUAAUCUUUUAAAAAUUAUAAAGAUAUAGGUUAUUGAACAGGGGUGAAGCCAAGAAAUUUUUUUAGGUGGGGUUUAAAUUAAAUUGUAAGUUUUACAAUGCAGUUUUACCAUUUUAAUAACUUAUAUAUUUAUAAUUAUUAAAUGAUCAAAUCAACUUUUUAUCAUUUUUAAGGAGGCCAAAGUGCAAUUUUACCUUUACUAAUUUAAAAUUUUAAAAAUUUUGAAGGCCUAAAUAAAAAUUUUUCCAUUUUAGGGAGAUCUGGGCACCUGCCAGCCCCUAGCUACACCCUUACAAUUAAAAUGAUGAAAUUAUAUUUUUACUAUAAUAAAAAUAUACAAUUUAAUUCCGAUCCCAAAAAAUUUUCUAACUUCCCCUAAUUAAACCCAAAGAGUAGAAGAAAUAAGUAGCAAAAGUAUUAGAGAAUAUAGAUUUUUUGUCCCAUCAUUGUUUCUCUUUUUUAAGUUAUUUCCCAAUUUUUUAGUGGUGCAAGUUCAUAGUUGGUUUUUUUGUAAUUAAAAAGUUUGGAUAGGUUUUGGUGUCAGUUUAUUUUAUCAUAGAUGUAUAAGAUUUAUGCAAAUUGAUAUGUUGUUCACUACUAUGAAUAAUUCAUUGCAACAUAUCAACAUAUACAUCUUUUUCUUGGUUUUUAUUCUGGGAUUAAUAUAAUUUUUUUUUAUCUAUAAAUAUUUUUCACAUUCAGAUUUUAUACAAAUAAUUUACUAAAUUUGAACAAAAUGACUACAUAUCAACACAACAAUACAUCUUUUUCUUGGUUUUUAUUGUGGGAUUAAUAUAAAUUUUUUAUCUAUAAAUAUUUUAUACAAAUAAUUUAUUUUUAUAAAAAUAUUUCAUGACUUUCAACAUGGGAGUUAGUUUUUUUGUCAAAUUUUUUUAAUUUAUUUCAACUACUUUCAUGGGUUAUUUUGUCAUUUGGGACAUUUCUUUUUUACAAUUUGUUAACUUUGAUNNNNNNNNNNNNNNNNNNNNNNNNNNNNNNNNNNNNNNNNNNNNNNNNNNNNNNNNNNNNNNNNNNNNNNNNNNNNNNNNNNNNNNNNNNNNNNNNNNNNAAAUAAUAUAACUAAACUAACUACUUACUAUAUAUAUAUAUAUAUAUAUAUAUAUAUAUAUAUAUUAAGAGUAUCUAUAUAUUUAAACUCUGUUCUAUAAUCAGAUUUUUUUGAAGGAAUAUAAUUAAUUAUAUAUAAUAUUAUAUAAUUCAUGUUUAAGAAACAUAUUUUAUUCUCAAAAAACCAAUUCAGCCGAAAUGGCAGCUAAGGUCUAGGCGGAGGCUAUGUUCAAACUCUUAUUUCAAAUGUUUUUGAACCUUUGUUAUUCCUCUCUUUCAGCUGAGGUCUGAGGCUGCAGCCUCUACCCUCUUCUUUCAAUGGAAUAUUUUUCGAUGGUUGUUCUUCAGCUGCCUCUUGGCUCUUCUUCAACGGUAUGUACACUCAGUUUGUUUCUCUUCUUCAAGUUUGUAGUCUAAGUUGAUGGUGGCUAUAGUUUGGCUUCUUAAGCUUCUUAAGUUCAUGUCGAGUCUAUAUUCUGCUUAAGAAAAAAGAAACAUGUUGAUGUACUGUUUCAAGAGAGAUUAUAACUUGGAUGCAGUUAAGGUUCAGAUGUGCAGAGAGAGUAAGAUAAAACUUGGGUUAUGCUAAAUAUGAUCUGAGUUUUGGUAGCCCUUUCGAGCUUGGGAUUCUUGCCAGGGAAAAACCAAUUAAAAUAGAUUUCAGCCAAAUUACAAAGGCAUCCAACAAGACAGCAAACUGGCCAUUAUGCGGUUGAAAUGGCUAGAGCUUAUAUUAAAUCAAAUCAAAUUUGCAUGAUUUCAACAAUAUACAGAGAAUUAGCUGUAUAUUUAAUCAAAUAAGCUAAAGCUGAUCUGUUGAAUAUGUUUACUUUUCCUUCAAAGUACUUCCACACCAACUUAGCUUUCAAUGCCUGCAAAAAUCAAUAAAAAACUGCUAUUAUUCUAUUGUUCCUAAGGAAAGUUAGCUGUAUGAAACUAAAAAGCUCUGAAAUGUUUGAAAUGGUUUCUUGUACCUGUCCCAUGAUUGUGAAGAAACCAAUCACAGAUUUUGUGACUAAUCUUUCAAUCUGAUCUCCUCGGGGUGACACUUUUAAUUUCAACGUAGGUUAUGUGGGAAAUCUUAGACCACUCUUGUCCUUUAUCGCUUGAGCAGUCUUCUUUCAGCAACAGACAAUGCCUAAUAUAUAAAAGACCAAGCGAGAGUGUAAUUUUGCCCGGGCCAGAACUGAUUAAACCCAAAAAAAAAACAGUCCCAGUCCAUUACAACUAAAUUAGCCCAAAAAUACAAACGGCCCAAAUGGCCCAAUGACAAAAACCCUAGCCCAACAGAAUGGAAAACAAACAGCAAACCCUAAGCCUAAGCGCCGCAUGCCUAGGCUCCAGCGCUGCGCCGCAUGCCCAGGCUCCAACGCCGCGCCGCCGCUCUCCCUGCGCACGCCACCGCCGCUGCUCGCCUAUCGUCGGCCCUCCACGUGCGUCAGACCUCCUGCAAGAAAAGACAAAGGAAAAAAAACAAAAGAAAAGCAGCAAACAACAAACAACAAACAAACGCAAAACGACAAAAAAUAAUGAUUAAGAGUUGUUUAUAUCCGGCUAUAAGAGCCUAAAUUUCACCUCUGUAUUUUUUUUACACACAUUAAUAAAUUUAAAAAGCAGAACAGAAAUUUCGAAAGGUUGAUUUAAGUCCUUUACUGUUU
rnacentral:lncRNA from 1 species